rnacentral:lncRNA from 1 species
UUUGGCAAAUUAACUCUCAAAACACGGUGAAUUAUUCACCGUCUGCUUCAUAAUUUUUUGGGAAAGAGAAAAAAAUAAGGUUGUGAAAAUUGUACGUAGAUUAUACGGAAAAUAAAAAAAGUGAGGUUGUUAGGAUUGUGUGUGGAAUAUUAGAAUUUUUGUUUGAUUGUUAGAAUUAUAUGGAUAGAUUAAAUUUUUUUGAUUGUUAGGAUUAUAUGGAUAUAUUAUUAGGAUUUUCAAAUUGUUAAGAUUAUAUGUGAUGUUUGAUUAUUACGAUUGUAUGGAUAGAUUAUUAGUAUCUUUUUGAUUGUCAGGAUUGUAUGGAUAGAUUAUUAGAAUUUUCAGGCUGUUAAGAACUUAAGAUUAUAUGUGAUUUGUUGAAAUAUUUAUGUGGUUGUUAGGAUUAUAGAAAGAGACAAUAAAUAAGUGAAAGGUGGUGAAUGAUUCACCGCUUUUCUGAGAAAUUAGAAUCUUUAUGAAAGCGGUGAAUCAUUCACCGUCUUUAACAGAUUAGUUUUUUAAAUAUAAUUUUGGCAAGGUUAUUUCGCAAAUAAUAAAAUUUUAAAAGGUUAUUUUAUAAAAAAGUCCUUUAUAUACAUGUGUUAUUGUCCAAUCAAUGAUACCAUUGAGGUCGUCUGAAUCUUUUGAUGAUAAUAGAGAAACUUAAGAGUUAAGAUGAUAUUACAAAACAACAAAUUUGUUUCGUGAAUUUGCAUGUGCUGCUCGAAUAACCACAACAGCAGCUUACUCGUUGUAUUUUUAAGUGGAUCUUGUUUAUUCUCCUGGUUUAUCAUCUUAUCAAAUAUUCUUACUCUUGUUCUCGCAUUCUGUUUUGUCUACUCUACAUGCCUACUACAUUGUAAAUUUGAAGAUGAGCAACUUUUCUAAUAAAACUAUAUUUCUUUCAGAGCAAGAUAAUUUGUUUUGAUUAUAAAUCUUAAUAAACUGAUUUGCUAACAAAAUGUUUAGGCCUGGUUCGGUAUUGUUGCCAUUUUUUUUUGUUUUUUCAAACGUUAGUUCUGUAUAAUUUGAUGUGUUGAAAGAAAGACUAUUGUUUUACUGUUAUAGUUGGUUAGUUUACAAUGCAUCCGAUCAAAUGGUAGAUGACGACUUAUUUUUUUUAAAAAAAAUUGGAAGUAAAAAGAAGUUGUUUUCAACAUUUUUUGCUUUUUGUUGUCAAAUAAACACUUUGAAUAAAAGGAUUGCUAGCAAUCCACUAUCCACUCCUACACUUUUUUGAUAUACAAAAAUUUUAUAUUUAAAAAAAUUAAAAAACAAACACUUACCAUUUUUCUUGAACAUCACUUGACUUGUUUAGUUGUUUUUACUUGUUGGCAUUUAGAUAUUGAAGUAAAGGCAGCCUUGAGUAAUAUUGAAAAUGGGGUUCAUCCAUUGGAAGCACUCAACAAAUCUAUAAAGAACCUCGCUGCACCAAUGCAAAUCUCAGUGAGAUUGAUUCUUUAUUUUCUACUUGAUUAUCUCAAACAUUCUUUUAAAUAUGCUUUUCGUAUUUACUUUUAGCAAAUGUCCUUGACACAUCUAUUGGACUUCUAUUAUUAUUUCCCUUUGAUAUGCAAACUUUUGAAAUUCUCUCUGGUUUCUUGUACAAAGCAUCUACAAUUAUGGAGCACAAUGAAAUUAGCAUUCUUCAGUACUCGAAGGAUAAAUGGAUUAAAAAAAUUUGAGCAUUAAAUGCUUGCUUACUCUGGGGAAACUCGUAUGAUGGAAACACACAUACUGCAAUCUCAAUUAAACCCCUAUUAUGGCCUUGGAGCAUGUGUACAGUUGGUGUUUACCUUAAUUGAAAAAUUAUUGGUCUUGCUUCUUUGACAUAUUUCUCUCUUUUAUAAUCAUAUUUCUCACUUUUGGCUUUCGAACUAGAAGAAUGCCUUGUACUAAAAAUGAUUUUGACGGGCUUCUUGCAGUGUUUUCUUGAUAAAUUACCAAGGGACACAUUUUCAUGGAAAGUCGGCCUUGUCAAUUCUGCUGCUCAUUUCAUUAUGCGAUCUCCCAUCUGCAUGCAGUUGAAGCGGAAGUCUUACUACUAGCCAGGUCGAAAACUAAAAGGAAAAAGAAAAAUGAAAAAAGAUUUGUUUUCCAUGCCUUGUCUCAGCUUGAUAACAUCUUUGAGAUACUAAAUAACUAUAAACGAUUAUUUACAUAUAUAGCAUUGCAAAAUUAUUUAUUUGAAUUCCACAUGUCCUUCAACAACUUAAUUUCUUUUUGUAUAUAUAUAUAUAGAGAGAGAGAGAGAGUCCGGCUGGGAUACUAUCGAGUUUUUCACCGUUAGAUUUAAUCCUUUGAUUAUUUUCACCCGUUAGAUUAUACUAUUCAACCAACCACCCACUCAACCCUAGGGGCCCACAUCAACCUAACCGCACAUUUUUCAAUCCAAGGGCUAAAAAACUAAUAGCACCAAUAACUUUGUGCUAUUAAUAGUAUUCUAGCCUAGUUCUAUAUAUAUAUAUAUAGAGAGAGAGAGAGAGAGAGAGAGAGAGAGAGAGCUAGUCUCCUAUACUAUCUGUAAUACCGGGGCUCUAGUACUAUUGCCUCGUUUUCGAUCUUAGGGUGUUCAAAUCAACGAUCCACACCGUUAAAACUGAUCUAGGGUAUUUAAAGUUUUUAGAAAUAAAAUUUAAUAUUUUUUCGACAUAGUUUACUUUAUGAUCAAACCAUUUCAAAGUUGUCAAUUUUCAAUGGCUACUAUGGCAAGUUUGGAGUUUAACGGUAUAGAAGAAUCUAAAUUUCUUCAAAUUUUGAUAGAAAAUACUUUAAACUAUCUAGAUUAAGGUUAACAUUCUUGAUCUUGAAUUUAAAAGUCCUAUGCUCAAAUUUUAAAGAAUAUUCAAUUUCCACCGUCCAUUUUGACAUAAUUUAUUUACUAAGUAAACGAUGUCGAAAAAAACUAAAAUUUUAUUCCUAAGAACUUCAUAUACCCUAGAUCAUAUUUAACGGUGUGGAUCGUUAAUUUGAACACUCUAAGAUUGAAAACAAGACAUAGUACCGGAGCUCCGAUACUAUAAAUAGUAUAGUAGCCUAAUUCUAUAUAUAUAUAUAUAUAUAUAUAUAUAUAGAGUUUGACUGGGCUACUAUCGGUUAGUAAACUGCUCAGUUUACUACCGAUUUUUUUUGAUGAUAGAGCUUCCAAAUCGACGAUCGACACCGUUGAACAUGAUCUAGACAUUUAAAUUAUCUAGAAAUCAAAUUUCAUUGAUUUUUGGCAUCACUAACUGAACGAUCAAAGGGUCACAAAAUCUAUAAUUUUAUGGCCAUAUGGUGCGUUUGCUCGUUUAACGGUAUCGAAGAGUUCAAAUCAACUAAAUUUUUGUUGAAAAAUUCUUUAAACUAUUUAAAAUAAGAUCUAGACUCUAGAUUCUCAAAUAUAAAAAUUGUAUCAUCACUUUUUGAAGAUAUUCAUUUCCAGCCGUUCAUUUUUCAGUUCGCUUGAUGGACAAGAGAACAAUAUCGAAAUGUGUGAAUUUGAUUUCCAGAUAGUUUAAAUAGUUUAGAUCAUGUUUACGCGUGCCGAUCAUCAAUUGGAAGCUCUAUCAUCGAAAACAAAUCGAUAGUAAACCGAGCCGUUUUACUACCGAUAGUAUUCUAGCAAAAUCUCUCUCUAUAUAUAUAUAGAGAGUUGAGCUAGAAUAUUAUCGAUAGCAAACGGGCUCCGUUGCCACCCAUUUGUUUUCGAUGAUGGAGUCUCCAAAUCGGACGAUCGGCACCGUUGACAUGAUCUAUUACUUAACCUACUAUAUAUAUAUAUAUAUAUAUAUAUAUAUAUAUAUAUAUAUAUAAAGAGAGAGAGAGAUACUAUACUAUUAUCACUACGGAGGCCCUUGUACUCAUAAGUUGUUUUCGAUGAUAAAGCUUCUGAAUCGAUGAUUCAUACUGUUAAAUAUAAUCUAAACCAUUUAAAGUACUUAGAAACCAAAUUUUGUAAUUUUUUGGAAUUAUAAUAGAAUCUAUCAAGCAGGUAGAUAAUAAAUGGCCAAAAUUGAACAACCUACUAAAAAUAGAGGAUCGAGUUAUCCAAUUCACGAUUGGAGUUAUUGAUCUAAAUAGUGAAUAGAAUUUUCUGUCAAAAUUCAACCAAUUUGUUUAAUAAAAAAAUCAUGAAUUCGAUUUCUAAAAUGUUUAAAUUCUCUAAAUUUUGUUUAACGAGAUGGAUCGUUGAUUCGGAAGCUCUAUUAUCGAAAACAGCAUAUUAGUACAAAGGCGAUCGUGCUCAUAAUAGUAUAGUAAUCGGACUCUCUCUCUCUCUCUCUCUCUCUCUCUCUCUUUAUUACAGUGUUAAUUUGCAAGAAAAUGAGUAAAAGCAUUAAGUUGGCCCCAAGUAAAAAGCCUUCAUAUAUAUUUUUCAUUAACUACUAGAGCUCUUAUAACUUAGAAAGUACAACUGGUCAACAGGCCUCAACUGCAUAUGGCCUUCCCUUUCAUAACUUAAUAAAAGAGUCCUUAUUACAUUUAAGAAAAAUUAUUUUACCUAGUGUUGAAAUAUGAGAAUGAGAUUAGUGCUUAAAAAAAAAACUAGUACUUUUACUAGCUACUUAGCUAGGAUCGAUCUAUUUUGAAAACUUAAGAUUCAUAUAACGUAAAACAUAUUAAAAAGGGAAAACUUCAAAAACCCCCCUGUGGUUUCCAACUUUUUCACUUUAGUACCCUGUGGUUUAAAGUGUAUCAAUUUGCCCCCCCGUAGUUUUGUUUUUAUCUUUUCUAUAGCUUUUCUCUUAAUAUUUCGUUAAAUUAUAUACAGAAAAUCAUCAGAUAUCUAUCUAGAUUUACCGAAUAUUUACUUUAGUACCCUUUAAUUUUAAUUUUGUCACUGAUUUAAGAAAAAAAAAACAAUAAAAUUGAUAAAAAAAAGGAGAAAAACGAAACCACAGGGGGGCAAAUUGAUACACUUUAAACCACAGGGUACUAAAGUGAAAAAAUGCGAAACUACAGGGGGGGGGGGGUUUCUGAAGUUAUCCCUAUUAAAAAUUACUAAGUGUCUAUCAAAAUUCAUUCAUAGAAUCUGAAAAUAAAUAUAGAAUUUUGAAGUAAAUGAUGUAUAGAUCAGCUUGAUCUACUUAUUGUAUUUUCUUACCAUCAAUUUCUGUUGGAGAAUCUUAGAUUCUUCUCGACAAAUUGUAAGAUUUAGUGAACUUUACCAAAUUUCCAAAUAUAGGUAAUUAAAAAUUUGAAUUAAAUGAUUUGAUCAACUAGAUGACAGCCAUCCUUCCACUAAGUACUACAUGUAGAUUUUUGUGGUAACUUGGUGGUUCUGGCUAUUGUACUACAUGUGUAGUCUUAUCUUGUAAGAUUCUAACCUACCAUUGCUCAUAUGUUACAUAAUAAGAAGUUUGGAUCGUUUUGUAUCACCAAACAAUCUUUGAACACAAAACCCUAGUUAGACCUAGAAAGCAAGAAAGGGCAGUGCAAAAGUGUGCCAGUCAGAGGCCCUUGAUGCCAACGGAAUGCAAGCCACAUGUCUGCAUGGCACCAUGUCUUGCCGACUAGGGCUCAUCACAGCCUCAAACUAAAGAAAAACCGGUUACUGGCAUGGCUCUGGCUGCUGGAGAACGGUGUUAUAGUCAUUAUACAUGCCUAUGCACUUAAAAUCUUGGUAUCAAACAUUUUCAUCCAUUGAAAAGUAAUCAUGCUUUUUUUGGUGUUGUUACUCAGCUGCCGCGACAAUUUGCUUCCUAGCAAAGUUGAAGCUGGAAGACUUCAAAAUUUAUUAGCCAACUGCAAAGUUCAUUACUUCGAGGAUCAUGGACACAAUCUUCUUCUGGUAUGUAAAUAGGAGCUAAUCACACAUGAGUAUACACAGGCGUGCAUGCGUGAGAGAGAGAGAGAGAGAGAGAGAGAGAGAUCUAAGUUGUCCUUUUUCAACUAAGAACACUAGAAUAUCUCCAUAGCCACUAUAAGUUUUCUAAAUAAACAUAUUACGAUGAGUUAGAAUGCAAGUUCUAGUCGUGGAAUAUUAUAUAGAAACGUGCGAUUCAGUUAACUGGCAUGCGUGUCACAAGGUCUUCGUUAUUUAUCAGAGUCGAUUCAUUUUUUUUUUGCUAUUGAGCUUUUCGUAUGUUAUCAUCACUCUACAAAUUUGGCAAAGCUUGUACUAUCCUCAUAUAAUACAGGAACACGGUGUCCAUUUGCCAACUCUUCUUAAAUGUUCCAACAUGUAUCGUCAUUCAAGGAAGUAUGACCGCAUAUCUGAUUUCCUACCACCAACUUUGACAGAACUGAGAGAAUUGGAUAAAGCAACCAGGUAAUGAUCUAUGAUCUAUUUACUUAAUCAAAGAAAUAUCAAAAUAUAUUACCUUGCAAAAACUAUUCUUUUUUUUUUUAUUUUACUUAUGGUCAACUUCAAACUGACCUUCUGUCAAGGUUUUAAGUGCCCGUCAGCACGAGCCGUAUCCACCGUGCCGUACCGUGCCAACAAGAUACCGGCACGAUACAAACCCUGUGCCGAUAGCACAGCUCAAAACACUCUAUUCUUUAAAUCAGUAAAUAAUUUCCUCAAUAAAGUUUAAAAGAUGUGAUAAAAAGAAAAAAUAAAUAGUUAGAAUGUUUUGUUGCUAAAGAAAAUAAAUAUUUCAUACUAUUAUGUGUCGGCACACAAGAAUUUUUUUGACCGGCACGCAUCGGCACGGCUCGGUACGCAUCAUGCCGUACCGUGCCGACAAGUUUCCGGCACGACCCCGUGCCACGGCACUUAAAUCCUUGCUCUUGUGAUUUGGCUCGUUUUUGUUUCGCCACCGUGUUGUUCAAGAUGUUUUACUUUACCCCCCAUGGUUUAGCUUAUUUUUACUUUGCCACCCCGUGGUUUCAAAAGUUGCACUUUGUCUCCCUGUGGUUUAGCAUAUUUUUCACUUUGCCGCCCUAUAGUUUUUUUUGAAACUUUUAAUUUGCCACCCUGAAGAAUUUUUUGGUGAAAUAAAAUUUAAACCACCAAGGGGCAAAGUGAAACUUUUUGAACCACAGGGUGGCAAAGUGAAAAAAUGAGCUAAGCCACAAGGGGAGUUUACCCUUUUACUUGCAUAUCCCUACAAAAUCUUAGUAUUUGCUACUUGCCCUUACGAGGUCGUACCUGCAAAAAUAUCUCUCCUGAAGAGACCUAUUUUAAUACAAAACCAACUUUUCUCCAUGAAUUGGAUGACUCGUCAACUUAAGAUAAGGGUAUUUUUGUCAAAAAUCGCGCUCUUGGGGGGUUUAUAUGAAAAUUCAAAUUUUACGGGGCCUGUUACAUAUCUAAACAGAUUAAUUUACAGGAAUGUAAAUGUACAAGCUUCUUAAAUAGAUCAUUUUGCCAGGAUGUGUACAAAAAAAAGCCCAUUAAAUCAAUAUCCUGUGAGAUUAAUUGUGCUACCUUUGAGUAACAGCUCUGGUUCAUGCAAACAGAGACUUGUACCAAGCUACUAGUCCAGUGAUGUUCUCAACCAAUGAAAAUGGCAAGAUAGUAACUUGCAAGUGUUGCUUUGAUAUUCUGGUCAUGGUUAUUUUCUGUAGGACGCGGUGUCUACAAAUAUUCCUGUAAUUUAAUGCAUGAGAAUAUGAUAGAAUGUUUGAUAGCCCUUUUCUGUUCCUGGAUGGCCCAGGGUGAAGAGCACAAGUUAUUUCGGCCAAGUCGGCCUGAAUUUGUAAGAAUGGCAGCUAAAUUUGGGGCAAAAAUCAUACCGUUUGGAGCAGUCGGCGCAGAUGAUUUAGUGGAAGUAAGCUAUGAGUUCCAAUUACGCUCCCAACUCCAUUGCAGUAUUUACUGAUGUCUUUAUAUUUCACGUAGAUAUUACAUUAUCGAUCGCUGAACCUCGAGUGGAAUUUCAUUUGGGUCACCAAAUUUAUAUUUGUUUCAAGUAAAGCAUUCAACUUUAAUUUCCAUUUCCAUUUCCAUUAGGUGACUUCGUUAAAUUCCCCGUAACUUUUCCAACAAAACGAUAAAUUAUGUGUUAGGUGGUAAUUCAGUUAUUAAAUCGUCUUUUUAGAGAGAGAUGACACGAUACUAAUCUAUCUAUUAUUGGUGGUGAUUCGAGUGCUCAAUCGGCAGUAAAUCGAUCACCUCUGCGAGAUGAUAUAACCGAUGAAUAAUAAUAAGAUAAUAAGAAUUUUGAGAUGAUACAGCAGUUGAAAUAACUAGCAGCCUUCUUCAUAUCUUUUGUUGGUCGCGUAGUUAGCGGCUAAAUUAUACUUCAUCAGAAAUCAGUCGAAAUUAAACUAGUCACCUGAUUGAGACCGAAAUUAAAGUUCAACCCUUUGAUUGAAAUGAUUAAAGUUCAGUGACGUAAAUGAAAUUUAAUCAAAAGUUCAGUGACCUGUGUUGUAGCUUACCCUUUUGCUAAAUGCCAGAGAAAGUGCGGACUUUUUCUUUGUGGAUUUAAAGAAAAACAUGCUUUCUUUUCUAUUCGCAUUUGCUGCAUUAGAAGUUCUCAUAACUGCAACCAUCAACCCUUAAAUCCAACAAUACUGGGUUAUAUCAUAAAUAAUUAUUUAUGAACUAUUAAUUCUAUGUUAAUACAUUUUGUAUUAGCUAAAAAAGAAACACAUUAUUCGAAAAAACAAUCUCAACCAAUUAAUGCCUGUAGAAAUCCAUCUGAAUGUCAGCGUACCCGUCAAGUGAACCAUUAAAAUCUUUAUGUCGUUUAAGUAUUAAAUCUUGUUUACAACGAAAGUAGAAUUGAACUAACCAGAAGAUUAUACUGCAUUUUCACUCAUGGAAGUAUAAUAUGUAUGACAGGAAUAAUGACUGCAUUUUCACUCAUAGAAUUGAACUAAGCUUUUUUCACUUAUCUCAAUUAUAAGAUGCAUGAAAAUAGUUCUCAGGUGAGAGUUUCUUAGAAUGAAAUGGAUAAAUUAUCAUUCGUUUCUGACCCCUCCUCUUCUCUCUUAAUGAACCAUUUCGAAUAUAUCAACAGCAAGAAUUUAAGUACCGUGGCAUGGGGUUGUGCCAAGAAUUUGCUUGCCGUGCCGUGUGGAUGUGUGUCGGUCACAAAAAGACAUGUUUGCCGACACAUAACGACAUGAAAUAUUUAUUUUCUUUAGCAUCAAUAUAUUUUAAUUGCUUAUUAUAUAUCUCUAUUAAAUCUUUUGCCCUUUAUUGAAAUAACUGCGUGCUAAUAUCAAAGGAAAAAGGAUGUCGAGCGUGCCAUCGGCAUCGGGGAUGUAUCAUGCUGAUAUCUUGUCGGCACAGUAUGGUGGGGCAUGGGCCGUGCCGAUGGGCACUUAAAAUCUUGAUUAAUGAGCAGGAGAGGUAGUAGUAAAGACUCCAAUAUAAAACAAAAAUUGAUUCCUUAAAAGUAUAAGAAAAUUUUGUUUUUGAUUAACCAUAUUUCAAUUUCUUGGACUAGUGUGCCAAAAUAUUGAUUUUGAUCUGAAACUAUUGAAGUUGAAUUCGAUGAAAUAGAUGUACUGUACAACUUCGAAUUUAACGCGAUAGAUAAAUUACUUUGUCAAAUUUAAAUUUGAUUAGGGAUGGGAAACAAAAGAGCGGACAUCACACGUACGAAUAAACACAAACCUGCUGAGGAUGUUAUUUAAUAGUUUGACAUUUCGCUCGUAAUUCUAAAGUAGUUAAGAAAUCAAUUGGAAAUUCUCGUGAUAACAGAGUGUAAGCAUCUAAAUGGCUUGGCUAAUAGUGAUAGAUCUAGCUACUUUUCGGAGAGAAAUACAACACAAACCUGCUGGGGAUGUUAUUUCAAAAUUCACGUCCUCUUGUAUAGUUUCUGGAUUGACAUUUUUUUUUAUUGAAUAUUUACUCGGAUCACAAUUCAGGAAAUUGUGGUUUUGAGACUUUUUGUAUUUCCAAUCUCUUCGAUGGUAAAAAUUGCAAAUAGCGGCCUAGCAGGAAGAACAUGAUAUACACAACUUUCUAGUCAUAUUUCAAUGCUUUUUCAUUACUACCUCAUUUCUCAUUCACUGCAACUUUUUUUUUUUUUUUUUGUUCGUCUCCUUUCUAAAUGGCAUCAUUAAGUUGCUUAAUGUCAUGCUCGGCUUUUUCUCCUGCAGUUGCUUUUCUACCAUGAUGACAUAAUGAGCCUUCCUUUCGGAAAAGACAUGAUAAAAGCUUAUACCCAAAAUUUGAAGUUGAGGUAACGUUUCUAUAAAUUUACUCGCUAGUUUGGCUUGGUUAGAUCUUCUGCAGAAGUGCUGGACGACUUAAAAGAGUUAUUCAAUGAAAGUUCUCUUAUCUUAAAAGUUUUUCCUCGCAUCAAAAGCCGCAAAUUGGAGCUUCUGCUUUUUGUUUCCCGAACAAAAUGGUCUCCAGAAACUUCUGCUUGAGGGAGUGGCGAAUGAUCUGCUCCGUAAGCGGGCGCUUGAUCUCCUUCUAGUGAUCGCCAUCGUCAGUACAUAUUAUUUUUAAAUCCUUUAACAUAGGGAUGCUUCUGUAGGGAUGAUGGCCGCGAUGUAUUCUUCCCAGGAGUAUAUCCAAAAGUGCCUGGGGAGGUUCUACUACCUAUUUGGUAAACCCAUUACCACAAGCGGAAAGGAAAGUGUGGUUACAGAUAAGAAUGCGGCGAAUGACUUGUACUUGGAAGUUAAGUCUGACGUCGAGCGCAUUAUUCGCUACCUUCUAAAGAAAAGGGAGGAGGACGUCUACAGAAGUGUCGUCGCACGAUCUUUAUAUAAAGCUGUUCGGGGAUCUAAUUGUCAAAUUCCGACAUUCGAACCUUGAUUAUAUAUAUAUAUAUAUAUAUAUAGAGAGAGAGAGAGAGUUUAGCUGAAAUGUUAUCAGUAGUAAACGUGCUCUAUUGCCACCUGUUUGGUUUCAAUGAUGGAGCCUCCAAAUCGACAAUCGACACCAUUGAACAUGAUCUAUACCACUUGAAGCAUCUAGAAACCAAAUUUUAUGUUUUUUCGAUAUUGUUCUCUUGUUCAUCAAGUGGACACAAAAAUAAACGGCUGAAAAUAAAUAUCCUUUAAAAAGUGAUUGGAGGAAUUCUGUAAUCAAGAUCAGGAGUAUAGUAUAUAUGUUUGAUGUUGUAUUUGAGUUUGUAUUUUAAAAUUUUUGAUUUAAUGUAAUAUGUUUUGAAAUAUUGUAAAGAAAAAUUAUUGUUUCGGAUUUGGGUUUCGAUUUUUUGAUCGGGUUUGAAUUUGAAUAUGGAUUUUUAAAAUCUGUUGGAUUCGAAUUCGGGCUCAUGUUUUGAUAUUCAGGUUCGGGUUCUGAUUUUUGAAACUAUGCCCCGAAUCUGACUCGUUGACAUCCCUAAGGGUGUGUUUGUUUGGGUGAAAGUGAGGGGGGAAGUGGAGACGGGGGAAGUUGUUUAUGCCGUAAACUAUCACUUUCGUUGUUUGUUUUACCGUAAUUUUAUUACGGCCGAAAGUCGAGUUCACUCAAAAUAGGGUAAUUGACUUCGCCCUUCCACGGGGCGAAGUCAAUUCCGGUGAAGUGCAAAGAGGGAAAGGAGCUUGUUAAAUUUGAUUAGGUGAUGUGAUCAAAUUUGGUUAGGUAAGUUUUAAUAUAUUUUUUGUCUAAUUUGUAUAUUUAGAAAAUGAUGAAAAAUAAAUUUGUUAAAUGUUAAUAAUUUUUUAACUUUAGAAUUUUAUUUGUUGCAUUAGUAUAAUUUAUAUGCAAACAAAUAAUAUAAUUUUUUAAAAUUUUAUUUUAUAAUUAUACAUAUAUAUAAUUAUAUACAUAUGUUUGUAAUAUGUUCUGGGCUAGAUGAGGCCCAAGGCCACAUGAAAGUACUUGACUUGGCCACAUUUGAAUCUAAAGUUAAAAUUAAAAGUUUAAAUCUGAAUGUUUGAGUUUCAAGUUUUGUCUAAAUGUAAUUUUAAGUUUGAGUUUACAAAUUCGAGUUCUAAAUGUUCAGUUUCACCAAAAUUUGGUCCUAAUUAAUUUGACCAAAAUUUGCACUUGUUGUUGGUGCGCCAACGGAUGAUCAUCAAGUCUUCUUUUCUGCUGGCGGUCAAGCGCGAAGUGGAUGAUCAUGAAAUCUUCCCUUUCGUUGGGGCCGUCGAUGUGCUGGCAAGUGGUCGGCGUUUUCGUCCUCCGCCGACGACGUGCCAAAUGGAUGAUUAUAUUGUACAUUAGACUGUACAUAUUGAGCCGGAGGAGACAGGCUGGGUUGUAUAUAUUUUAGGAUGUAUAUACGGAUGUUUUAUGUACAAUAUUAAAGCUAUACCUGUGUGAAUCUACUUAGACUCUGAAACAUGUUAUCUAUACAAACACUCUUGUUGCCUUUUUUAUAGACAAAUCGUUUAUAGACACACGGAUACAUGUUUUCUAUACAUACACUCUUAGCUUAAGCUGUUAGAGAACAAUAUUUAUAUAAUUUUAUAUUUAACACUCCUUUUCACGUCUGGGCUCGAGACUUUUUGCAAGGCCCAUGACGUGGAUUUGAAUUAAAAAAAAGAAAAUUAAUUAUGUUAGAGGUCUGGCAUGACUUGAACUCAGGACCUCCUGCUCUGAUACUAUAUGAAACAAUCGUUGUACUCUAAAAACUUAAAUUAUUAGAAAAUGGUGUUUAUAUAACUUUAUAUUUAACAUUCAUAUUACUAGUUCUACUUUUUAACUUUACUUACAAUUAUAUCAUGUUGUUGAGUGAUAAUUGAGUAAUGUAGUUGACUAAAUAUUAAAGUAUCGCUAAUAUAGAGUAAUGUAGCAGUAUCGUGAUUGAUGAUGAGUCGAUAGUUUAGAUGGUACAUCGCUUUUACUUCGGCAAUGCAUCAACAUUUAGUCAACUAAAUUGAGUAACGAAAUUUGAUUAUAAUAAUUAUGAAAGUUCAAGUCAGAAAUUACAAUAAUUUAAAGUUUAGGGACGAAUCGUGCGAUUUUUUACCGUUCAAGGCUUAUGUUUGAUAUUCUCGCCAGAAUCUACCAUUUGAAUGUAUAGCGAAGUGAGACAUUUUUGCACGUCACAAAUGGUGAAACUGAAAUGCAAAUUACAUGACAGUAGCAUGCAAAUUUUAUUGUUCUCUGAUUAUAAAAAAAAAAAAAAAGAAAAGAAAAAAGCAUGGCAUGUUGUUAUUUGUUAUUAACUGCAUGCAAUUUCUUUCAAAAAGGUUUUUUUUCUUUUAAAAAAAAUGAGAGCGAAGGUUUAUAUUUCGAAUACGAUUUACCAAGGGGUGCUCUGUAAAAGUUAACUGCAAUUUAUUUUCUUUUGUUUUCCUUUCAAAAUCAAAAAAAUAAAAAAAGAAGCCAGAGUAACAGAGAUGGGAAAAUGGUGGAGCUCACUUCAGAAAAAGUUGAGGAGAUGUGGAGAUGGACAUAUUAUGUUGGAUAUAUUGUUAUUGGAUAUUUUGUUAUAAUAUAAUCCAAUAAUAUGUUCACAUACAAGCCCAAUAAGUGAAAGCGUAUUAAGGCCCAUAUCUCUGGAGCCCAAUAGCUUAUUUAUUAAAUCUAGGGUUUCCUACGCUGGAGGUAAUACUGUUGAGCGUUCCAAACUUGACGUCUCUUGGUGUAAUACUUUAAGCACCUAAAAACCCUAACCUCCAACAUAUUAUUAUUAUUAUUUUCAUGAAUUGUCACCUAACCAUGUUGUUCUCUGCACAUUGACAUAUAAUAUAGAAAAUUACAUUCUAUAUAUCAAACUUCAAAUAUAUAUAUAAAAAAAUAAAGGUAAAUGCAUUUGCAUCAUUGCAUGUGCUUCAUUCAGUUUCUAUAUUUGAAAAACUUGUGGCCACUAAAAAAAGUUAAAGUAGAAUUUUAUAAGUUUCAUGUAACUUAAUUAGAUGCAUGUCUUACUAGAAAUAUCAUAAUCUAAGAUUUGAAAAAUAAAAGAAAAUUCUAAAUUUUUUAAUCUAUUAUGAAUAAAACAUCUUGCAUAUUACGUUGAUCGUAUUAACCUCCCGCGGAUGAGAUUUACUAUAUGGAGCAGUUUGGUUCAAGAUUUGUAAUAAUUCGAAAAUGUCCAAUAUUUUAUAUUUAAUUGGAAUAAUAAAUUUGUUUACUAACUUAUUAAGCCCCUUGAGUUGAGAUGUUGUUAAUAACUAGCUUGUAUAUCUUAUUAAUGGACUACUGAUAAUUUCCAUCAAGCAUGGAAAUACGAUACAUAUCUCUUAAAUCAUGUUAAUCUGGUAUUUCUAUCAUUUAGUUAUCUACAAUAUAAUUUAACUAUUUUACUACCGCAUUUUACAACUACUCUACUUGAGUUGAUAGGUUUUGAAUAUUUUUAAUAGAAAAUAUGAAGGAUUACCGGGAUCUUACAAACCUAGCUUGAAUAUGUUUGCCCAAUGUCAUAUUGAAUAUAGAUAUUUAAAAUACUAUUCGUUGGUAGCUUAAGCUUUUAGAGCUAAGCGGUUAUUACAUAUAUUUAUUUCUCACUGUAUCAAAGUAUAGGUAGGAGUUCUUGGACUUGAAUCCCGCGGGACUUCUAAUUCCUUCUUGACAUAUUUAGUAACAUCUCAAAUUCCAAUAUGACGUACUUGAUCUAUAUCUAAUGAACAAUUUUUUUUUUAUCAUAUCCACUUAUUUAUUUAUUUAUUUAUUUUUUCCUUAGUUCAUGUUGUAAAUUAAUGGCCACCUAGCUAGGUUACUUAAUUAAUAAUAAGCCAUGCAUGACCAAGCCUAGCUAGGUGAACUAAUUAAUUUAUGCUCUCACCAAUUGCAUGUAAAUUAUUAACCCAGCAUAUAAUUAAUGCCAAUAGUACUUCUUCCUUUGAGCAUGCAUCUUGCUUUAAUUUAAUUGUCUGCAACUCUCUUUUGUCUUCUUUUAUUAUUGAAGAAUAGAUUCAAGGUUGUAUCUUGUGCAGAUGAAGGAUUAUUUAUUUUUUAGUAGUUUCUUUCAUUCGACUUAAUUUGUGGAAAGAUAAAAUUAAUUUCGUAUAUUCGAUCAGUGGUUGUUAACUAACUUGGAUCCUGUUCGAGAGAGAUUGGGGUUCGAUUCCAGCUGGAAUAUUAUUAAGGGCUUAUUUGGUUCAUCCAUUUUGGGUAUGGAAUGGGAAUCGGUUUGAUCAAAUUCGGUUAAUUUUGUUUGGUUCGCAUGAAUCAGUUUGGGAUUCCUAUUCCGGACUGGAAUGGGAAUGGCCCAUUAGCCUUCAACUUGAUUCCGGUCUUCUAACCUGGAUUGAAAUUUUAUUCCGAAAGCCCACUAAAUUCUCGAAGCCCAUGUGACCAUCUCACCCUCCUUCUCUUCACCCCUUUCUCAUCAAAAAAGAAAAAAAACCUAUCAUCUUUCAAAACCCUAUCCCUAACCCACAUCAAUAAAAGUUUUUAAAAAUAAAUUUGAUAUUUUUUUUGGAAAACUUAUUAGAGAAUAAUAUUAUAUUUUUCAUAAAUUUUAAAUAAUAUAAAUUUAUAUUUGAGAGUAAAAUUAGUAUUAUAGUAUCCUAUUAUUUUUUUAGUUUAUACGAACCAAACAAUGAAAUGUGAAUAACUCAUUCCAAUUCCCAAUCCACAAAUAAACCAAACGUCCUGGGGGAGUGGGCCAUUCCAAUUCAUUUCCAUUCCAUUAUCCAUUCCAAUUCCACCCUUGAACCAAACAAGCCCUAAUAGUAUUGGGGCUCUCAAAAGCACUCCAGCUGGCCGGACUCUUGCAUAUCAUGAAUGCAACGUAUAUAGAAGAAACAAAAGAUAUUCUUGCAAGAAAGUAAACCUUAUAAUUCCCUGAUUACUGUUCGUAGAUCAAAUGUUUAUAUAUUAGAAAGCAAAAGAGAUCCCCAAGGAAUUACAACCGUGACAAUUAAAGACAAAAUGGAUUGAUGUUUGAGGAGUUAUUACAGAAAUAUUUGAGUACGCUCUGGUCAGCAGAAGCAUCAGCGGUAGACCGCGAACUUCGCUUGUCGGGGCCGCGGCUUAUAGCACAUCGCCAUAAGCGCGAGGGCGAUGAUCAGCGCUAUCAGAAGCCCCAUGGGGUCGACGCCGUUCUCAUCACCACCGUUCUCCGACGGUUGUUCCGUGCAGCCGCAGCCACAACAUCCCAUGCAUCCCACGCAUCCCACGCAGCCCAUGGUAACGAUUCGUGUUAGAACGAUGAAUGAAUGAAUGAAUGAAUGAAUGUUGGGAGCAAAUUCGAAGCAUCAUAUAUAUACAGAGAAGCAGAAGGCAGUUGAAACAUCAAUGUCGACGUGCAAUAUUGUACUCGAUCGGUCAGAACAUGAGAAUUAAUACAUGCAGCAGACGAGAAAUUUAAUAAUUAAUGCAUCCGAUAAUUAAUAAUACUAAUACUACUACUACCUACUACUAAUAAUAGUUGCUUCUUCAAAUCAAUUCAAGGGAGAUUCUGUCGGUUCCUGUUCAUGUUCCCCGUUUCCGCUCGUAAUUCGUCUCGGAGGCGUAUUAAAUUAAAAUCCGGAUUAUAAAAGUGCAUGCAUGCAUGAUGAGCUGCAUGCCAUUCUGUUGUAAGUCAACGGCAGCAGGAGAGAUGAAUUGAAUCAUUCUUGCAUCAGACAUGCACUAAUGAAAGCCAAUCAAAAUAAUAUGGGAAUCCUAGUCAAAUGGAUCGAGCAGUUUCCGUGCAGCUUACUGGAUGGUCGAGGAGAAUUCGUCAUCGCUUACUCGAACCCCCUUUCGAUCAAAUAACGAGAAGCAGCUUUAUAUACAUUCUAAAUUAAAUACAUCCGACAGAUUAAUUAGUUGAUGCAUAUCUAUGUUGGAGUUUGAUCUGUUGUAGUUUGACUCACCGAUGCUUAAGUAUGAAAAGCCCAAGCUACAAAAACGAAAUAGUUUGAGAUUCGAACAGAUAUCGUGCAGAUAUAAUAAAUAUCAAUACAUUCAAAUUUGUACUUGAAAAGAUCGAGCUUGGAAUUUACCUUUGCACUUUGCACUGUACUCUGCGAUAAUGAGUCGCCUGCGAUUGUAGACUCAUGCAGAUGUGUUUAACAAAAGCUGUUGAAUACAGAUAGAGGAUAUAUAUCUGGCAUAUAUGUAGCAAAGAAGCGAAAAGUUCCAGAUGUGAGAUUAACCGAACUCUUUAGAGAAGAAUCAACAUGUAGUGCAUGCCUCUUGAUGCUGUUCAUGGAUGCAGUUCUUUGCAUUCCUUGUACGACCGAAAUAAGUUCUUACUGGUGCUAAAAUGUGGCAUCUUUGUAUUUUACUCAAGUGAUUCCGACUGGUCUUGUAAUGACUAAUAAUAUCAAGCCAUAUCACUCUUUUUUCCACCAUUAAUUGGAAUGAACAAUACAUCUAUAGCUAUACAUAAAUUCUCAUGGCUAAAUCCACAUGAAUGUACCACCUUUAUUUGAGGAUGAUGGGACCCAUACUACAACACAAUUAAGCUAUAGAGACAUAUUUUUUGGACACUUUUAUGUAAGUGUCCCAUAUAUAUCCAAACAAAAUUGCAUUACCCAAAGUUUUUGAGUGGGCUAAUGCAAUGGGUUAAUGCAGUGGGCUUUUUUGAGUGGGUUAAUGCAGUGGGCUUUUUGAGUGGGUUAAUGCAAUGGGCUUUUUUGAGUGGGUUAAUGCAGUGGGUUUUUUUUAGUGGGUUUUUGAGUGGAGCUCGGUGCAAGCAUUAAUCCACUCAAAAAGUUGGGUUUUUGACUGAAGCACGGUGCAUCCACUCAAAAAAAAAGAACCCUCCGUUACCAGACCUAAAGCACCCAAAAAAAAAAAAGAAAAAAGAAAAAAAAAGAUACCUAUUAACCUACCUUGCUCCUCUCAAUCCCUUUUCCCUGCAUCAUCUCCGCCGUUUCGCCUCCCUCACGAUCUCCAAUGGCGAGCUCUAGCUGCUACCUCACCGUGUCUCUUAUGGAGAUUUCUCUAAUAUCAUGUUGAUCCCUUCUCUUUCCGUGAGACAUUUUUGCGUAGCUCGAUCAUCACCACCACCGCCACAACAACGUCCUUAAUUUUGGUCCUCUCCUCGUCAUCAACUUUGGAGAAGUUCAAGAGCUUGGAUUGAGUGCAGGAUAGGCUUCUAAUCUCAAUCUAGGGUUUUUGUAGCACACUAAACUUUAACAAAUUGCAAGGUUCCAGUGUCCGAAUAGUAUUUGAUACUAUUCUGGGUAUGUUCGAGGGUCGUGGGCUGUGUGUCGACCAAGUACUUGCAUUUUGUGAAGCGAGAGUGGGGGCUUAGUACCAAAAUUUGCAAAUUGCAAGUUUUGGGGUGCUGAGUAUCGGUACCACAGUGCGGUACCGGUACCCCAACGCGUGACCGAGAGGGGUGCGCUCGGGUUUGAACUGAGAGAUGCUGAGUACCGGUACUGACUUGGCCGGGUACCAGUACUGGGUCGGGUACCGGUACUACAUCACGCGGGUAGCAGUACCCAGUGCAUUUUCUCGCAGACCUGAGGCUCGAGUUCGCGCGUGCUGCUGCCUAGUACCAGUACACCGUAAAUAACUCGAUUGACAGAGACGGGUUUUGCGGGUUGGUUGUCGGGUACCGGUACUCCUCUUCGAGUACCGAUACGCAGUGCAGCAAACUGCUUUUCUGCAGUUUACAAUUUAGCUGUUUGUGAGGGGCCUUCUGGGGAUUGUUACCACUUAUAUAUAUAUAUAUAUAUAUAUAUAUAUAUAUAUAUAUAUAUAUAUAUAUAUAGGGCCAUAAUNUAUAUAUAUAUAUAUAUAUAUAUAUAUAUAUAUAUAUAUAUAUAUAUAUAUAUAUAUCCCACCUCCCUUCUACUCAGCUCUUGUGCUGGGGACUUAGAGGAAAAGAGGUAGGCUCUCUUCUCCUCCCCUUUCUAGUUUCUUCUCUUUGGGUUGAGAUUUCUUGUAAGGGUUAUUUGCAUACACGUCCCUGCAAACAUAGUGAAUUGCGGAAAUAUCCCUGCAAAACGAAAAUUCCAUAAGUUGUCCCUGCAAAAAUCAUAAGUUAUGCAAAUAUGUCCCUCUGGUUGAAAUCUGUUAGGAAACUAUUAAUUUUUAACAGUUUUAUUGUGAAAUGACUUUUUUGCCCUCACAAAUAUAUCCCUCCAAAAUAUUUCUCUUCCCCUUCCCUUUCUCUCCCUCUUCGGGCCACCGAAGUGGACGGCGGCUGCGGCAGCGCGGGGUUGGGUUCGCCGGCGAUGAAGAAGAGGGAAGAGAAAGAAGGAGAGGAAGAAGAAGAGGGAAGAGGAAGAAGGAGAGGAAGAGGGAGAAGAAGAGGGAAGAGAAAGAGGAAGAGGGAGAGGGUUUGCCUUCACCGCCGCCGCCGCAUCUCCUCCCUCGCCGGGGACGAAGAAGAGGGAAGAGGAAGAGGGAGAGGAAGAAGAAAGGCGAAGAUGAAGAGGGAAGAGGGAGAGGGUUCGCCAUUGCCGCCGCCGCCACAUCUUCUCCCUCGCCGGCGAAGAAGAAAAGGGAAGAGGAAGAAGGAGAGGAAGAAGAAGGGGGAAGAGAAAGAGGGAGAGAAAGAGAAGAGGAAGAGGAAGAGGGAGAGGGUUCGCCGCCGUCGUCGCCGCCGCUGCCGGCGACGAAGAAGAUGGAAGAGGAAGAGGAGGAAAAAGAAGAAGGGUGAAACCGUCAAUUUACGUUAUUAAUUAACCAUGGUUAAGUAUUUUAACCGUGGUUAAUACAAUUUUUCUAACAGACCUUAACGGUAGGGACAUAUCUGCAUAACUUAGGUCUUUUGCAGGGACAACUUAUGGAAUUUCCGUUUUGCAGUGAUAUUUUCGCAAUUCACUAUGUUUGUAGGGACGUGUAUGCAAAUAACCCUUCUCGUAAAUUGAUCUCCUCCCUUUUCUUCUUUUUUGCUUGAUGAUGAUCCUUGGACCUUAGAGAAGCUUUGGACUUGAGGAAUAGAGCUUGGUUGAGGAAAUAUCUCCAACCCUAGCAUCAUCCUAGCUUGGUUUGGAGCUCAAUAAGAGGUUAGUAGCAUUAUUGCUCCAUUGAGAUGUGAUUUUGGAAAGAUUUUUGGAGUUUAACCUAGUUUUGAAAAAUUAGGGUUUCAUUUUGAAUUUUCUCUUGGUAAAGCCUUUAAGGCUUAAUUGUUGGUUCCAAUACUUCCUUUUAGGUUGAAAUUGAAGCAACCUAACCUCCUUUGAGAGUUUGGAAGGGUUUUUCCUCAUCUAAGAUAUUUUCUACUUAUUUUCGGUAUGAUUUUUGGAAAAUUUCGUGGGGUGUUCCUUCGAUGCUCCUAACCCCUUUAGAAUUUUUGUUAGGGUGCUAGGAGGCUAGUGGACAACUCCGUUCGCGCAAACGUAGGAGUUUCGAAGGGUAUCCGGUAGAUUUGACAUCACCGAAAUGGGUGAACUCCUCCUAUGUCAUUCUCUAUGUUGUAAAAUGGGAAAUCAAGCAUAUUCAUGCUAGUUGUAGCCUAAAUGAAAUUUUGAAUGCUUAAGAUAUACAUGUUAUGUGUCGAGAUUACAUCCUCUAUAUAGUAGAGUGAGAGUUGUAUAUGAAACUUGCAUGUGAAAAGAUAUCCUUCAUACCAUGUUAGAAAUCAUAUUAUGAUUAGUGAACUGACAAGUUUUACAUUCCCAUGGGCAAGUGAUUUAGACUUGACAUAGUUAACAUGAACAUCAUGUAGUGACACUUGACUUAGUAAAUGACUAAACCUCUACAAUGUGACAUAAAAACCAAUCGUUGGGUCGCUACUACUUGUACCAUAUUUUAGACAUGAUAACCGAAGACUUGAUAUGGAUGAUCAUGCUUGCUUGCCAUUGUGCUCAUUCACACAUGCUUGUAAGGUUGCUCCCUAUAAGCCGGCACUCCGGAGUUGGCUUACGCGACACAUGCUCACCCGUGCGGGGUUGGGCGCCGAAGUGGGAUGCCGUAGGGAAGGCUCAUUCCUAGAGAAAGAAUGUUGACUACCAUGGGGCCACUAGGCACGGCGCAAGCCGGACUACACUUGUGUAGGCCUUAGUUGAAUUGAACAAUGACAUUUAAAAGUAUAUUGUGACCAUCACUACUGUAACAUACCGAAACUCGGUAGAUUAUAUUGGACUUUAGCCAAAUUGACUAAAGCGUCCGAAAGAAAUAGUUGGACAUGUUCCAUUUGACAUUCCAAAGGUUUUGGAAGGGUCAAAAUUGAGUUCUAAAAGAGUUAGAGAGGUUUUAGCAUUGCUCGGCGCGAAGAAGUGCUGGAGUACUACCAGGACAUAACUCUGGGCACUGGCAUACCGGUACCAGGUUCGGAGGUACCGGUACCAGGCCAGCAACCCGAGAGGAGUAGCUCUCGGGUUUGGCUGUUGCGCACUGGCGUACCGGUACCAGCGUGGGUGGUACCGGUACCAGACCAGCCACCCGAGACAGCAACUCUCGAGUUGGGCUGCUGAACAGGGGAGUAUUGGUACCCGUGAGGGUAGUACCGCGGUACCAGAUGGGCUUCGCAGCAGACUGAGGUCUGCUGCAAAUCUGAAUUAUUGGGGGGCCUUUUUGUAAUUGUUACAACAUAUAAACACCCCAACACUUCUCCCCACUCUCUCCCACAGCCAAACACCCUCUCUCUCUCUCUCUCAUUUCUCUCUUUCUCUCUUUAGAAAUCUCUCCAAGGAGCUAAGGGGAAGGAGAAGAGAAGGAUUUGGAGGAGAUUUCUUGGGUUUUGAAGGUUUGAGAACUCUCCUACAAGGUGGACUUUGGAGAGGUUAGAACAAAGGUAAGGUUUUCUUGUAAGAUCUAGCUUAGGGCUUGGAUUUUACGCCCUAAAUCUUUGGAUUUGAGCUUCUUACAAGUGUAGAAACCUUCUAGUGGCCAUAGAACACAUGAAAACCAAGCUUUCUUCAUGUGCUCUCAUGGUGGAUUUCUAGGGCUCGGUUUGUAUGCCCUAGAAAUGGUUGGAAAGGCUUAGAAAAGGUUCUAAAUUAGUUCCUAGAGGUUUAACGAACUUUCUCUUGCUUGUUCUACAGAUCAAAUUCAAGGAUUGAGCAAAUGUCAUAUUAGGGCAUCCCAAAGAGGGAUUUUGCUCAAGUAGGGUUUUGAUCUAAUUUGAUCAUGUAUAAACCUAAUUGGGGGUAUAACGAACGCGUUGGUGCACUCGGUUCGACAAUUCGACGAGUGUACGCAAAGUUAUUGACAAAACGUCAUUUAUCGUACAGAUUGCCGCAGCACGUGGAAUAGGAGUCCAAAAAUUCUAAGAAUUGAACCGUAGCACCCUUCCAACCAUACAAAGUGGGUGGUACUUUCCGAAAUCGGUGGAUUUCCUCUUAUGUUUAAAAGUGUCAUUUUUGAGCAUAUGUAUAUAUAUCUUGUUCAUGCAUAAUAGGGUGAUGUGAGUGUAUUUGAUUGCAUGCUUUGAGUAUAAGAUACAUUUAAAAUGUUGUAAAUCUUUGAGAACAUAUGGAACCCUAUGUAUGCAUGUGUAGUGACAAAGACCUAGAAGAGGUAAAGAAUAAAUGACAUUAUGACAUAUGGAUUGGGUGGUAUUAGUAAAUGACAAGAAAUGCAUGAGAAAAGAACACUUAGUGUGUGUGUGGCAUUAGUAAACAAAUGAAUGCUAGGAUUGAACUCUUAGUCGAGUGGCAUCAAAACAAGUAAAGAAUGCAAGUAAAGGACAUAAAGAACAUUAUAACAUAGAAACCUUAGAGUUAAGGGUCAUAUGAGCAUUGCACCCUCCUAAUGAGGAUUGGAUUGAACUUGAAAUCCUUAAAGUUAAGGAUUGAUCGUACUCAUCCAUUAGUCUUAGCUCGAGGGCGGCAGCUCCCCUUCGGGCGAUGAGCUCCAGAGUAGUCAUCACUGGGUCGUAGCGAGUAUCUCCCCAGAGGACGGUCUCGUCGGGUCGCAGCGAAUAUCUCCCCGAUAGUAGGGAUUUGGGUUGGUGAGUUUGUUGAGGGCGAAACCUAUGGGUUAGCCAAGAUAUUGGGCAAUGGAAUUAUGAUUUUGCAUUCAUCAUGAGCAUUUUAUUUGAGCAUAGCAUUGUUAUAUUGUUUAGGCAUAUUAGCUGCAUUUGUUAGUUGGUUACUAUUUAUUCUUUCUUCUAUUAUGCCUGAUUUAGACCUAGUGGGAAAGUCGGCGAGGUCGGCGGCCGAACCUACUGGGAACUUUGUUGUAGUUCUCACCCCACUAUUUCCACAGAGCCGGGACCGAGCGAGCCGACGGACGAUCGCGGUAAGGGUAUCACGCCAUAGUUGGGGACCAUCGAGUUGGUUUCAUUUUGGGUUUAGUUGCAUAUCUUUUAUAUAUCAUCUUUGUAUUUUGAUGAUUAUAGUUGUAUGAAUGUUGUAUUAAAGACGUUAAAUGAAAAGCUUUAUUUUGGGAGAAUAUGUGAUGUAAAAAGAAAUGAUGCAAAGAAUUGUAUAAGAAUUUUAUUAAAAGUUGAAUGCAUGUAUGUGAUUUAAAGUUAAUCAUAUUACUUGUAUGUUGAUUAGAUAUAUAGUACUUUCACUUUGGCUAUUGCUUGCCCUCGUGCGAGCCAUUAUGUAUACUUCCGCAUAUACAAAUUUUAUACUCUAUUUGUACUUGUUGUUGAGCCUUGGGCGGACCGGGGGAGGUGCUGUCCAUUCGACGUCUGUUCGACGUGCUCGAACUGGCCAAAUAGGACCGGGCUCGGGGCGUGACAACUACUAAAUAGUGCAUACUAGUUGGACAUACUUAUUCUGUCACGCCCCGUGCCCCGCCUAUUUGGUCAGGUUCGGGCACGCCAAUAGACCGCCGAAUGAACAGGGUUUUUCCUGUACCGCGGACAGAGUCUCCCCUGUACGUCCAAGGCGUCGCAAUCAAUACAAUGCACGAAGUUUCAACCAGGAACACAUUUCGACCAAAGAUUGCAUAAGGAAGUACCAAAAACAUAAAACUACUUGCUAUUACAAGCAUUCAUUCUCAAAGUCCAAAUAAUACAGUUUGUUUACAUUGAACUUCCAAAAUACAAUCCGAUUGUUACAAUUAUUACAAGUUUGAUCCCUUUGUAUUCUUUUCAUUGUCUAUACCCCUAGCUAGCCGACUGGGGUGCUUCUAUCUCUGGUCUCUGGGGUAGGGCGCUAUCUACGGAGCUAAACCAUUGCCUCGCGCCGCCGCGCCGCUCACGUGUGUACCUGUAACACCCCAAAACAACGUGGGGUGAGAACCAACUCCAUGGUUCCCAGUGGGUACGGCCACCCAAGAAAAAAGCUCGACCAAUAGAUCCAAUCAGGCACUGCAAUCAUGUUAGUCCAAAAACAUCCACAGAUACAUAUAUCUUCAUGUUAUUAUGCAACUAACAAAUAACAUGCCUCACAAAAUGCAAUAUGCAAAACCUGUAACUCAUGCAAGUAGAUUAAUUGAUUCUACUUCAUAUUCUUAGCCAUUCUUUACUUGUAGCCGUUCUUUACUUUAUUAGCUAUUCUUAUUUAUUAGCCGUUCUUUUUUCUUAGCUAUUCUUUAUUCUUAGCUAUUCUUUAUUCUUAGCUAAGGGUUCUCGCACCCUAGUCAUAUUAUGCUCAUUGUCAUUCUUUCCUAAGGUUACUCUUACUUUAGUCACACUAUGCCACUCGACUCGAUCGUGAGUCAAUCAACUGCGAAUAAUCCGCGCUCUGUCGGCUCGAGGUGAAGGAACUCUUGCACGCACCUCAGCCUACCACAACCUGCCACGCUCUAUGACUGAGCCACCCGGCGGCGAAAUCGUGGCACAAACGCCACGACAAUGACUCAAGUCAAGCGGCGAUACAAUCCACAAACCGGCAUAACCAUCCAGCGGCGAAAUCGUCGCACACGCCACGUCGAUGGUUGGCCCCGGGCGGCGAAAUCGUCGCACACGCCCCACACCACUCUCGAUGUGAUCCAUAAGCUCUGGGAUUCCGAAAUCCAUUUCACAUAACUCAAGGGUUGGUCUUAACCCUAUAGUAUCGACCUAUCUAGGUCCAAUGUUCUUUCCACCCUAGAUCCACUUGACUCUAGGCUUGAUGCUUUAUCACAUAACCUAGGUUUACUUUAACUCUAGGUUUAUUCCACAACCUAUGUUCUUUAACACUAGGUUCAUAUUCAUUCUUAUCCAUCCUAGGUUCAUGCCACUAGGUUCAUUUUCAACCUAUGUUCAAUAACACUAGGUUCGGUGCCACACUUAUCCAACCUAAGUUUAUUAACACUAGGUUAUAUACCACACUUGUUCAACCUAUGUUUUCUAACAUUAGGUUUAAUGCCAUUCUUGUUUAACCUAUGUUUGCUAACACUAGGUUCAAUAUUACUCUUGUUCAACCUAUGUCAUUGACACNUUCAACCUAUGUUCAAUAACACUAGGUUCGGUGCCACACUUAUCCAACCUAAGUUUAUUAACACUAGGUUAUAUACCACACUUGUUCAACCUAUGUUUUCUAACAUUAGGUUUAAUGCCAUUCUUGUUUAACCUAUGUUUGCUAACACUAGGUUCAAUAUUACUCUUGUUCAACCUAUGUCAUUGACACCAGGUUCAAUGCCACUCGAUCUAUAUGUAUAUAUAUACGUCCACAUGCACAUGUCAUUUAACAUAGUUCUCUAUAUGUCAACUUGCAUUUCUUAGCAUUAUCCACAUGCAUCUAUUUAGCAUUUCCAUAUCAUGCUUAUCAUAUAUUCACUUAGCAUUAAUCAAUGCAUUUAUCUAGCAUUUCUGUUCUAUGUCAUUCAUGCAUUCAUUGGUAGCCCAUAUAGCAUUCAUUUCAAGCAUUCACAUACUCUAACAUUAGCUACCACUAUAUGUGUCAAUGAUAAACACUCAUCUUAGACAUACAGGCGACCUAGUCGCUUCGGUAAAUACAACCCACCUCAAUACGCUUUUCGAUUGCUUGUAGUUACUUGCAAUCGGCCUCCCGCGGCACCUGUUGCCCGGUUCAGUCCGGACUCUCGCGCGACCACCCGAACGGCCUCCAAUCCACGAUCCGGAAAUUAAAGGUCGACGGUUAGUUGCCAUGAGCCCACGAUUCCGUUUUCAUGAUUUUAGGACGUCGCCUCGGCCCUCCAGGAGGAAACGAAGCUUUAACAGUCCGUUUCUUCAAUAACUUCGCGUAGGCUCGACGAAUUACCGAAUCGACUUCACCAACGCGUUCGUAUACCUAGCAAUUAGGUUUGUAUAGGGUUAAUUUACAUUUAAACCCACCCAUAAUAAAAGCCCCAAUUUUGGUGCCCUAACAAUGUCGCUUUGCCAUUUUCCUAGAUUGAUCUCAUCCCUAAAUAAAGAUUAGCUUAGAAUCAUCUAGGAAGCUCUCUAAUACCCUUACUAAGCCAUUUGGACCAACCCUAGGGCAUCUAAGACAAACCCUAGGUGAUCACCAUGAGAGCACCUUGAGAAACCAUGGACUUCAUGUGUUUCCAAGCCUCCCCAAUGCUUUAAAGCUUGCAAGAAGAUCAAAACUCUAGAUCUUAUGAUAGAAAUCUAAACCCUAGAUGUAUUCUUGCAUGAGAGCUUACCUUAGCCCGAGCUUCUCCAAGUCCACCUUGUAGGAGAGCUUCUUGAUCUUUCCCAAGCUCCAAAACCCUCCAAAUUCACCUUCUCCUUCUUCUUCUCCUUGUUCUUGUGGAGAUUUCUAGAGAGAGAAAGAGAGAAAUGAGAGAAGAAAUGAGGGAGGAGGGGCUGCUGUGAAGGAAAAGUGUUUGGGGUCUUUUAUAGGUUGCUACAAAUGCAACUAAGCCCCCCAAAAUUCCAUUCGCAAUAGACCAAUUCUAUGCUGUUAGCCCAAAGUGUACCGGUACACUUCCUCGUGUCACCAGUAACACAAUUGCGCAGAGACAAAACCCAAGAGCUGCUUCUCGGUUUCGUAGCAUUUGUAUCGGUACACUUUCGAUUUUUCUCUCAAACCCGAGAGCAAGUUUUCUCCUCGGGUCGCUUGCUAUACCGGUACAACCAUCAACAUGUACCGGUACACUUUGCUCUAGAAUGUAGUUUUAGCUUAUUUUCGACCCUAUUUCGCACCGGUCGAUGCUAAAACCAUCCUAACUCUUUUAGAACUCACUUUUAACCCUUCCAACAUUAUUGGAACAUUAAUUGAAACUUGCCCAACCAUUUCAUUCGCACGCUUUAGUCAAUUUGGCUAAAGUUCGAUAUUUUCUACCGAAGUUUCGGUAUGUUACACAUUCAUGUUAGAAUAGCUUCGUUACAUGCUAAACAUUAUGCUUAAAUGGAGGCAUAGUAGUUUAGUAAAUUAUUACUUGCUCAAUAUUCAUGUUGCUUAUCUAGUUAUGCUUAUUUACUACUUAUGCCUCGAUGACCUAGUGGUGUAAUUCGCUGAUGUCGGCGGCUUACCAACUAGGAACUAUUGACUAAUAGUUCUCAUUCCCAUUUUGUUGAUGUUUUUGUUUACAGAGCCAUCCAUAUCAGGAGAGGUUAGGGACCGCGGCAAGGGGGUCGCGACUAGCUAGACUUAGCUGGGAGUUUCUGCUAAGUGGUCAUCUCUCCUUUUUUUGUAGUUGGAGAGAGAUGUUUUGUUCCUGAUGUAUAGAGACCACCAUUUUGUAUUUAGUUUUACCUUAUGUGGAUUUCAUGUUGUAUGUAUUGUUUGGUGGAUUAUUAUUGUUUAGCUAUUUUACUUUCCUAUACUUGUCUUUGGGGAGUAGUUAUAUUCCAUGCUCUGAUAUCAUGCUAGACAUUACUUUUAUCUUGUGUUUUCUCGUUAUGAUUAUUGUAGACGCCUUAUAUGUUCUUGGCAUAUGGCGGGUCUGGACACGCACUGGGCAAGCUUCCGCUGGGGCCCGGGCGUGACAGUUUUUGUUCUUAAGAUCUUACAGUGGAGGAGCACUUAAUUUGGUAUGUGAUUAUAUUUUUCAGAUUAAUUCCUUCUAAUUCUGAUACAUAGUUUCUACCAACUGUAGUAUUUUGUUAUCAAAUUUAGUUGUACUCUACAGGCUAUCAUUAAUAAUCAGUUUAAUUCCGAACCAUUGAUCAGUUGAUUUCCUAACAAUGCAAAACAAAAGCAAAUGUACUAUCUAGUUGGCUACAAUGGUAGCUUAGAGGGAGCUGGAUUAUUAAAAUGUAUAGAUUUGAUGUAGGAAAUUCACACUAUAAGGCAAUGUGGCUUGUUCAUGAAACAAUUUAGGAAUUUGAUAUUGUGAUUUUUUUUUUCUUUCUUUUUUCUUGACCUUUUUGGACUAUAUGCUUAUUUGAUCCAACUCGAGCUUCUGCGAAAAGUGAUGUUUAUAGUCACUAAAAAUCCAUCUAUUGAAUUUUCACUGUAGCAGAAGCAAGGGUUCAAGUUAGGGCUUUUGCAAAAGUGAUGCUUAAUUGUCAUUAAAAUCCAUCUCACAAGUUUUUGCUAUAGCAGAAGCAGAGACUUUAAAUUAGAGCUUCUGCGAUAGUGGUGUUUGAUUGUUAUUAAAAUCCAUGUAAGAAAUUUUCACUAUAGCAGAGGCGAAGCCUUCAAAUCAAAGUUUUUGCAUUAGUGAUGUUUGAUUUUGCAUAGUUAGACCUUUUGAUUUUGGGCCCUCAACUUCUUGUGAUAAAAUCCUAAGGCAAAACUUUAUUAGGCUUAAUGGGGGCUGUACAUUGCGCUCAAUAGAUAAGGUUGCCAACCUGCCAGGGAUAAAUUUUGGAGAGUUAUACUCAAGCUCCAACUAAAAUCUCCCAUUAGCUCUUUUAUAUUCUAUAUUUCUUCACGUUGGACAAGUUUGUGAAAAUUGUUAAUUUGCAUUUCAUUUUCCAGCUACAUGCCCGAUAAGCCUCAUAUCAAACCCAUAACUGAAGAUCCAAAGUUUGAGAAAAAUCGCCUCGCUGUAUUAUUUGACAGGAUCCAACACCCUGGUAAGUAACAUAUUAAUGUCUUUGGAUUGAAUUUCUUGAUACUCAGAACGUCUACUAGUGUUAUGAAAUAUUUUAUCCACCAUUUGUUUCACUAUUUCUUAAGCGAAAUAAUUUUGGAUCUAGUGUGCCCACUUUAAGUUGCUCCAUCAUUUUACUUACCACACUAGUGUAGCUAGGUAACUUAAUAAUAUGCAAGCAAUUUCUCAACAUCGUGAUCAAAUUGCCAUCUGAUUUUCCCAAAAGUAUAUAUGACAAAUAUUUAGGUAAUUUGCUUUACUCAUGCCUUUAAAUUAUUAGAUAAGACUCCUGAUAGUGGCUGUUAUAUUGUGUUUACUGGUUAUUUCUAUCAUAAAAUGGAAAAGGAAAAGAAAAAGAAAAGUUGGAUUGAAUUUUUGAUUGGAGAUAGUAGUACUGAUUCUUCACUUUCUCGUGAUUUGUAAUGUAUGAUAUUUACGAUCUUCUUCUGUUUUUAUUUGUUAUUGAUGAUUAAUUCCUAUAAAUUAAACAGAUUUAUCCCAGAUCGUUGAUGAAAAGCUGGACUCACUAAAGAAGUUGUGCAAUAUCGAAGUAGUUCCCUCUUCAUUAACACUUGGGUAUUCUUACUGGAGUGCAGGUUGAUCUUACACUUCUUAUUUCUUGGUUACUUUAGAUGACUAUUACUAUAAGUACCUUCUGGAUAGUCCUUUAGUUUCUUUCAUAUAAAUGAUUGCGACUACAAAUUAAAAAGAAAAGACUAGGGUGCACUUAGACAUGGUCAAAAUAAUUUCACUGAGGUUUAUGGUUUCUUUUCUAUUUUUUAAAGACUUCCUGAUUUAGUAAGUUUAUAUAAGCUCUUAGAAGCUUGCUGAGGUGAAAAUGUUCUACGUAAUUCAAACUAAAUAGCUUGUUCUAUCAUGCUUUCUUGGUUGCUUUGGUGGACCUCUGCUCAGCUAUCACAAUGAACUUUAUCAUAUCUUGCCUAUUUUGAAUGUUGAGCCGUACGAUCCGUGCUAUUAUUUGCAUUCAUGCAUGUUUAGUUCCAAUUAGAUGUAAUUUUAUAAGAUUAGGAGUUUGUUUUCCUCCCGGGAGAUGUCAUAUCAUUUGUUUAUAAUGCAAAGAACAAGAUCAUUUAAAGAAACAUUGAAAUGAGAGUUUUGGUGUCAUAGUCCUUCAGAUGCUUUAUGUUUUCAGAAAGCAAAUACUAAAUAAGGGAGUUUUAAAGUUUUUAGUAGCUUCUGUCACAAGCUUGAACCUUUUGCUUUUAGGAAUUUCAUUGAGGUGUUAUUUUUUUCCUCCUUCCGAUGGUUGUCACAAUUCAAUUAUUAAGCUUCUUUUUAUUUCACUUCUUUUUUCUUUAUUCUUCACUUUAUUCUUUUCUUUAGUUUUAAUUGAUUUUUCUUUUUUUUUUGCUCUUCUUAAGAUAUUGUGCAAUUAUUGAUGGAUUUGAAUAUUAUAAAAGGAUGGUUGCAUUGGCCAAGGGGAAGUAGACAAUACUUGGAGGGUGUUGGUGGUUUUCUUGAUUUUGCAUUUAGGAAUGCAAUUUCUGAUAGCAAAAUUUGGACCCCUUGUGUGAAGUGUGUCAAUAGAAGUAAACUGAGUCGGGAAGAUGUUUACGAGCAUUUAGUAUGCAAUGGAAUGCUUCGUGGUUAUCGACAAUGGACUUUCCACGGUGAGCGAAUAGUGGAAAGCCCACCUUCUCCUAGACAUCACAUAGAAGAUAAUUAUAGUAUGCAUGUAGAGACGCAUCAGCUACUAACUGAUGCAUUUGGAUGUGGAGAAGAAGAUCCGAUUCCAUCGGAUUCUAUGGAUACACCUACAUACAAUCUUAACAUGGAAGCUGAGAAUUUUUAUAACUUGCUUAAAGAUGCAGAUCAAGAGUUGUGGCCAGGGUGUGAAAUUGUGAAUUGACAAAACUUUCAUUUCUUGUUCUUCUAUUUUGUACGAAAUAUACAAACAAAUGGAGCAACAAAUCCUGUACCGGCUUGCUUGAGAUUUUACAACUUUCAAUACCUAAUGGUAAAAGUUUAAUGGGAUUUUUUAGUUUUCUGAAAGACUACUAAUGCCCAAACUUGCAUGGGCUAGAUUUUUUUCAACAGCACUCUAGAACAAAGAGAGGUCACUAAAGCAUCACUCGUUUUUUUUUUCAAAAUAAAUUAAUUACAAGAUGUCUUAUCUAUAAUACUAGCUCAUAAGCAAUUUUUUAUAAUUAUUUAAAAAAAUUAAUAAAUAGAAGAGAAAUGAUGAAAUAAUUUUUUACUAGGAACUAUAUUUUGUGUAGCAUCUAUUGCGGUGAUUUGCAAACUUAUAUAAUAUAAUCAAUCUGUAUGUGAUAGUAUGAUCAUUUGAUUAGUAACUCACGGGCUCGGUUAAGUAGGAUCGUGGGGUGUUGCCGUGUUGGCAGCGAAACACUUUGUUUUAAGUGUUUAAAUAAUAACAACGAGGUGUCAGGCGGCCUCCUGCGCCUGGGAACCGCAUCUCCUUUUCUUUGUGAUCGCCUAUGCGGCACUAACAUUAACAUAACAUAUCGUCCCACUUUAUUAUUAUUAUUAUAUAUAUAUAUUAUUAUUGUUAUUUGAAGAUUGAAGAUGCGAGCAACUAGCAACUUGACUUCCUUAUUAACAAUAUAAUUCAUUCAUGAUUACAAGAGGAGCUCUUUACAUAAAUAUACAAUUAAAAAUUAUCAUCUAUAAUUUUUUAUUGGUCUGAUCCCCUGGUAAAGCUUCCAAUGGCCAUUGUACUCAAGCCGUUGCAUUUAGACCACAUCAAAUGCAAACCAGAAUUCAGAACUACCUUCAGCCAGCAAUGGGUGUAGUGUUAGUCUAUUAGUUUCAAUUUACUAAAUCAUACCCUUUAAUUUUUUUAAAAAAAUAAUUAUAAUAUAACAAUAAAAAUUAUUUAUUUAUUUAUUAAAUAGUUUGUAACUAUAUAAUAAUAAUUUAAUUAAAAUGUAAGGCUCUAACGGAUUUAAUAAAUAUUCUGUUGUUUUGUGAUUCCACAGCGGCUCCUUUGGCAGGACAACUGAAAAUAGCAAAAACAGUGAAGCCUUCUCUCCGUCAUCUUCCUCCAUCCACAGUUUUAAAGCUUGCUACAGCCACCGUCACCAAUAAACCAGCGUUCAAGCCUCCCAGCUCCACCUCUCCCUCUCCCUCUACGUCUACCUCUGCUGAACAAGUAUUUUAUGUGAAAGAUGAACAAAAUUUCGGAUGGUACAUUGUAAUAAAGUUCUUCAUCUACCAGAGUUCAAGUCCUUCACGUCUCGCGCCACGAGCUCCUUAUUCGCCCAUGGCUGAAGGCCAUCUAGGAAGAAGAAUAGCCGAUCCUCAUCGGCCAUGUUGGUGAUCGCUAACAUCAGCUUGGAGUAUUCUUGGACAUACUCCUUCAAAGUCCUCGAAUGUUUGAGUCGUCGAAGUUGCCUCCGCGCAAGAUAUUUGACGUGCUCGGGGUAGAAUUGCUCCUUGAGCUCGCGCACAAAGUCCUUCCAUGUCUUCAGUUGGCAUUGACCCUUCUCGGCCUCUGCAGAACGUCAACGCCACCACAACAUCGCGUCGUCAGCAAGGUACAUGGACGCAACCUGGACUUUCUCCUCCUUGUCGUCCAGCCGCAACGCCUUGAUGUAGCGCUCCAUGUGCCACAGAAAAUUGUCUAUUUCCUUCUCACCGUAGGUACCCCUAAAAUUUUGAGGCUCAGGGAUACGUACCUUCAAAGCGGACUCUCUUUGGGGUUCAUGUCCACGCGCCACCGCUUCUUCAAGGAUCAUCACUCUCGUCUUGAGGUCCUCGACCUCGUCGACUCGAGCAACGAGCUCCUCGAUCAGGUUCUUUCGCUCCUCGUCACAACGAGUCAUGUUUCCCCGAAGCUUCUCGAGUUCGCUUCGAAAGGUUUCCAUGGCAAUAGCGACGCUUUCCUCCAUACUGCGGACCUCGCCGUUAAAAGAGUUAAAGGUAUCAGCCAUUUUGGUGUACCUUUCACCCAUUUUCGAUAUUACGUCCUCCAACAGCGCAAGGCGGUCCUCCAACGACGCAAAAUCCCUCGUGAUUCGUGUGUCUCGGCUCUUGCUCUGAUUGGAGGGCUGCUUCAGAGGGUCACCCCCAACGUUGACAACUCCCGCAUCGGAUGACGACAUGGUUCCUCCUCGAACCAGCUCUGAUACCAACUGUCACGGCCUUAGUGUUUCUAUUCACAAAGCCCGUGCGGCGCCCGUCUUCCUGCUCAAAGAUGGGCAAGCCUUUGUCCCUGUUGCUAGCCUAGACCUUCGCAUCCUACGACUAAAUAUGCAAAGGGAAUGACAGAGAGAGAAAGACAGAGGUUUACUCAAAAAACUAAGUACUCCACUACUUAGAAAAAAAGAAUUACAACCUACAAACACAAUCUGUCAUGUGUUUUGGCCUUAGCCAAACCCCACCAUUUAUAGGCUCCUAGAUACAUUGAAUCUAGUCUAUACUAACUCACCCAUUAAUGCAUACAAUAACUCACCCUCAUAAUGAGCCAUAAGCCCAAGAGUCACCCUAUUAACUCUUGGAAGUUUUGUGACCUUUGAGCUUCCAUCAUUGAUGGGAGAAGUUACAAAACCCUUUAUCUCCCCAUAGUCGGCUGGGUUCGGGUCUCUUUAACGACCACUCCGCUAGUGAAGUUGGGCCAAGAACUUAGAUUGCAUAGCAAUUUCGCUAAGUCCCUGACACGUGGCUCCCGUAGUCAUGCACGUUUUGUAUUGCUAUGAUGACACCUAAAUAGGGCGUUUUACGGCAGUAGACGAGAGAUAUGGGGAUGUAUGGCAUGGUUCCGGACACUUCGUGGGUUGAAACGGUAUCUGGAAUACCUAUUCGAGUCUUUAUGGCUAAACCAUUGGGUUGGGAGUGCUCGACCAUAUUUGCUGCUGGCUGGAGCUCCUUUGUAGGUACAUUCCGAGUGGAACUGAUCCUUGGGAGAGAUCUUGUAGUUGUUGUGCUGUCUCGAUGCCGAAAACUGCAAUUUCGAGAUUUAUCGGGACGAAAUUCAGCCAUUUCGGUGCACUGAUUAUGCAUUUGGACUCCGAAACUCGUGAGGGAUGUUCUGGAGGAUCCUCACUGGUUAUAAACAGCAAUAGAAAGGUGAGAUUUGUAUAGCUGGUUCCAUCACCGAAAUCGUUGACUUUCGGAGCCGUCGUGGUGUAGUUACGCAACUGUUGUACGUUUUGUCAAGCACUUGGCGUGUGGCUGUUGGACACCUAAUAUUGUGUGUCUCAGGAUAGUGAAAGGAUUAUUGUGACUCCCCAUUGAGUCGGCUAGCCUUUGGGCUGAUUGUGGCAGUUGACUAUUUUGUCCAGAUUCGGGUGACACCUAAAGGCAUCGAUUGAGUUGAGGACUCAGAUACUUGGUUAAUAAGGUGGGUGCUUUAAUCCGAAGUUGAUAAAGUUGUAUCUCAGUCGAUUUUCCACUAUGAUUCUAUUGUUCCAUCGUACAUGUUGAGUAAUACAACUUAUCAUGACACCGUACUAUUACUUGCUCAGUUAUUUUAUAUGUUGGUUGCUUUAUUUAUCUACUUAUCAUAUUGCUUAUGAUUUAUUGUGAUUGUCUCUAGACUCUGGAUGAUAUAUGACAUGUAGAAUAGGACCGGUCAUAGUUUUUUAUCCAGAUAACUAUGAUAUAACUUGGUAAGUUGGUGACUACUCAUAGACUGAGAUUUGACUUUAUUGGUCGGCUGAUUUACUCCUAUGUGAUUUGACCUUGUAGAUCUAUUAUUCUCUCUCAUACGAUUAGACUCAUUGGUCGACGAAUUUACUCCAUUAGAUUUGACCUUAGCGAUCUGUUGACUUAUCCUGUUCAUAGUUGGAAUAUAGCACGUUUCGCCUUGAUUCCUUUCAUUUGUUACCUCUUCCUUGACUCGUGUAGUAUAGCAUGCUAGUCAGCUUUGAGAUUAUAAUUAUGCUUGUGAGUAUGGACCUAUUUGGUUUCGUUGACACGUUUCGAGAAUAUUUAUUGUCUCCUUGUAGUAUAGCAUGCUAGUCAACUUUGAGAUUGUAAUUAUGCUUGUGAGUAUAGACCUAUUUGGUUUCGUUGACACGCUUGGAGAAUAUUUCUUGGCUCCUCGUUGUCGCCUAUGGGCGUUGAUUAGACUGUUGAGUUCAGUUGUCGGAGCUUUGAGCAUAUGCAUAUGACUUUAGCUUUAGAUGGCGCUAUUGCUUUUAGACAGGGUUCACAACCUAAAGUGCUUCAGUUUGCCAACCUAGUGGGACAUUGUUCAUAGACAUGAUUCGUCACCUUGAGUACUUCACCGCCGGGAUUAAUGCACACCGCUCUUAGACAGGAUUUGCAACCUUGAAUGCAGCAUGUUUUCCUCUAGAGUGGAAUUUGUUUAUGGGUCCUCCUGGCCUAGCUAAUAGGCAAGCUUACGCUAGGUCUAUACAGCAGGUCACAGUGAUUGGGUAUGAUAUUGGACGGUCUAUGAGUCAAAUCAUUUGACGCAUAGUGCUCUUAUUUGAAUCAUGUAUGACAUUCAAGUUGGUUGAUUUAAUUACAGUAGAGACAUCUCUCAGAUAUCUUAUGCCAUUUGCUUAUUAUCUUGCUACUGUGGUUGGUUGGUUGGUUAUCUUCAUUGCGUCUAAAUGGUUGAUUCUUCUUUACAGUAAAGGCAUUACACGGUACUUAAUUCACUUCAUGAUCUUUAUCUACUUAUAUUUAUGCUACCGUAAUUGAUAAUUCUUAUCUUAGUUGAACUCUUUACACUACUCCUUUAUUGGCUAAUGAGUGCAACUUGCCUUCGACAGCUGGUUGCGCCUAUUGAAAAAUAUAUUUAUAUGUUUCUCAAAUUCCCCAAUCUUUACUAGUGUUAUUGGCGAUGAAGAUUGGGGCACUGCUUGAGGACGCGGUUAGUUAGCGCCCAGAUAUUAUCUUUAGACAUUGGUGGCUAGUUCAGAGUUUAUUUUUCAGCUAUUAUCAUCUUUAUCAUAUCAUGUUGACUUGUAGCCUUAAUUGUGUUUAGAAUUGGUAUUCGGUUUUCCCUAUUCUCUUGGUUUUGAAUUUUGAUUGAGGUUUUCGAUCAAUUGUAGUUGCUUUACUUUCAGUAUUCUCUAGUUAUUUUGAUUGGUGUAGUUGUUUUGGUUGAUACAGUUGUUGUAAUUGUUGCGUUGAUUCAUACCUACUUAGAUUGUUUGAUGUGGUAGUUGUGGCUGUUGUUGUAUUGCUUGCGCUCCUAGCCGUGCAUGUAUAAAGGAGAAACUCUAUCCGUGUGGGACAAGAAAAAUUCUAUACGCGCGUGUGACGGAUCUGUGCCCAUCUCAAGUAAGAUUUCAAAAUAUAUAUAUUUCCAUAACCAAAGGGGCCCCCGGGCGUGACAAUUCCAACUGCUGGAAAAUAAUUUACAGGAACAGAGUAUCAAUUUGUCUUAAAUAAUUACAUGAGAUAAAUGUGAGCCCCUCAAUGCGCCAAAAUGUUUGGACAAGUGAAAAGAGGACAGAAUAGAGUUGAGAUCCCACAGCAGCUCGUACUUCCAACAGGUCCACUAGUUGAAUCACCAAGAGCAGCCUACCAGCAAACAUCGCAUUAUUGGGACGAAUCCAAAAUGCAUAUAAGUUGAUCGAACAGAACAACAAAGAGGCAGAAGCAGAAGCAGAAGCAGAAUGAAUCCUAACACACCGAUUGAUUGAUUGAUUGAUUGAGCAUGAUUGAUUGAGCAUAGAUUGAUUGAUUGAUUUGCUCUGUUACUAAGUUUAAACAACAAGAAUACAAGAAAUCUCAGAUCAACUUAAGUUGGCUAAGAAAGACAAGUGCUUGUAAAAAGAACAACUAAAGAAAAAGGACCUUGGUCAGUUUGUUAGCCCAAGGAACUCAGGGAAGCUUGGAUAUUUGGGCUCCCAUCCGAUCUCAGCACGAGUUUUUGAGUUAUUUAUCCUCUUGCCUAAAGGAUCAUUGGUUCCUGCAAUUGUGAGAGACAUAAAAAUAAAAUAAUGUUAAAGAGCAGUUUUAUCUUUGAAAAGGCAGCAUGACACAAAAGGAAAGAUGUUAGAAUAUAUAAAACACCUUCCUAGAAAUACGGCCUUGCACUUUGUGCCCUCAACAAAAGAAACCAAAAUUUUACCCUCAUUAAUAUAGUGAUGUUCACGCUAAACCGCCUUUUCCAAAUUAGGCUUUCCCUCAAUAAAACCGAUACUGCCAAGAUACCUGCAUCUAUGCUCAAAAAUGGAAGGGAGAGGUGGUGAUGAUGUAGGAGUAAAAGGUCAGGGCAGAGGAGGUGCCGGCACCGUAGCAAAAAGAGGUGGGGCCAGAGUAGGUGGUCGUGGUAGUGGAGGAAGAAAAAUUGGGAAAAGAACAGGGCAAUGGAGGGCACAGUGAUGGCCACAACGGAGGAUUACGUGGCGGCGGAGAUGAUGGAGGAAGAACACAUGUUGCAGUGACAGUGUAGGACCCAAAGGCCAAGAUGGAGACCGUGAUAGAGGUGGUAAGGACGGAGAAAGAAGAGGAAGGAGAGACAAAUCUGAAGAAGCAGGGUUGUUUUCAUUAUUGCUAAUCCAUUAGCAAUGUAACCCCUAGAAAGAUUUUCUGAUAGAUCGAGAGGGCAAGAUGAAGGUUUUUGAAUCCCAGCAGGCAAGUGCAAAAGGAACUAUUUUCGGGGAUUUUUUUGCCUUCCCAGAAAAAAAAAAAAAAAAAAAAAAAAUGAAAAAGGUAUCAAAGCUUGCCUGUAAAACCCUCGAACUUCUUGCUGAACUUUCCACUAUUGUUCACGCAAUCCAUUAGUUCUUGCCUAGAAAGAGGAGAAGCUAUUUGAUAAAAUUUUUGUAGGAAAGUAAAUAAGGUUGAGGUUAGAAUAAUUCAUUGGGUUUCGUGCGAAACAUCAAUGACAGAGUAAAAAGGAUAGUGAAACAAGACCUGGAUAAAGGAUGAUUAUCACAACCAAGAAAGAUACGUCCACGAAGCUUCUUCUGCAUGAUUGCUACCGAAAGGGAAGCUGCAUCCUGUAAAUCAAGUAUUUCAUAUUAAACAUCUAAAAUCCUCGAGAUAAGUUACCCCCCCCAAAAAAAAACAGCCCGAGUUCAUUCCAUAUCGGGAGAAAAGAGAAAGGAGUUCGGAUUUUAGAAUAGUUCGGCAUAAUAAGUCUUUUCAAUCUUAAACAGUAAACAAGAAGCACAUGAAUACUAGAUUUUUCUUUGAUCAAAGAAACAGUAUAUUAUUCAAUUAACCCGUACUGAAGGGCACAAGUUUAGCUAGCCAACAAGUUUCAGUUCUAAAAUUUGCAAAUAAUGAUUUUCUGCUUCGUUUCCAGCCGUGAACCUCGAUGUGUAGUGAAGUACUAUUAUUGUGAUUAUCCAGCAUUUAAAAUAUUAUUAUCUAGUCUACCCAUAUGAACGAACAGAACCUAAACCUAAGUUGUUUCUGCUGUGUACAGAACUUUAUGACCAAGUUCAAGAUAGCAUUUGGCUUCAAAAUCUUGUUUAUAUGUUAAUAAGUUGGUGGUUAACCCAGGAGAAAAUCUGGUUUUACCUCAUAAUGAAUAAGAUUCAGUAUAUGAUCUGGACGCAUAUCAACAGUUCCUUUCUGCAACCAAUAAGUGUGGGCACCUCUAUCUUCUUUGUGUAAACAGUCAAGAAAACAGGGAAGCACUCGUAUAACAAUUUGAACAAUAAGCAAAACAGAUUAGCAAUUCCUCAAAAUCAAGGAUUUAGGUGCCGAGGUGUGGGAUCGUGCCAAGCACUUGUUGGCAUAGUAUGGCACAGUGCAGUGCCAUCCCGAUGUAAGCUGCUGACAAAAUACCCUGUGUGCAUGACAAACUUCAGUAUGAAAAGUUUAUUUUCUUUCACACUGAUACUAUUUUAACUCUUUUAAUAUAUUUUCUAUCAAAUCUUUUAUAUUAUAAGGACGUAAUUACCUGCUAAUUUUGAAAAAAAGAGGGUUUUAAGCCACGCCAUCAGCACAGGGAAAGCAUCAUGUAGAUACCUUGUCAGCAUGGUAUCGCACGGUGACACAGCCCAUGCUAACGGGCACUUACACGUUUAAGGAAGGAUAUAUAAAGCCCUGCUAGCCUCAACACGCAGCCUCCAACCUCCAGAACAACCUUUUCUGCUUUUAAAAGGACAUCAGCCCGAGGACUUCUACCAAUUGGCACGACUGGAGAAUCCUACAAAGAACAUUUUGACAGUUAAAAGAGACAUGCAUUGCUGCGUGUGUUGCAUAUAUGUGCUAGGAGUUUAGGGGAUAGUUUUAACUUGUUUGUAACUUAGUACGACAUAUUGUGAUAAAGCGAUAAAAAAACAAAGAGCUUGUUAAGAUCUCUCCUCGUCCACAUAUAAAGGCUUUAAUAACUAACUUACAUGUAGCUUGCAAAUCCAACUAACACAUUGGGUAAACUCGAAAUAACAGUAAGUCAGAAAAUUAACUUCAGCACGUUCAGGAAUAAGUCCAGUUGACUGUUUUAAGAAGUGACACCCCAAACUCUGUCCUAUUUCAUAUUAGUCACUCUCAUGAUCCUUCCAUAUAUUAGUCACUCCCAUGAUCCUUUAUUAGAAUAGAAAUUAUCGCCUGCACUCAAUGCUUCCACAAGCCUUGCACUGGCCCAUCCACUGGAGUUUCAUCCCAUUUUCAAAUGUCCAUGCUUUUGCCAACUAAGGCAAGGCCUAUUCUUUGUGUACAAAUUGGAUGCUAGAUCGAAGAUAAGAUAAGGGGUGGAGGACAAAUGAGUGGAUGCUCCAUUAAUGUGCAGACGCACCAGGAACAGGCAAUGAUUUUGCCUCUGAGAGGUGAUGACAAGAGGGACUAACAUGAAAUAGUACAAAGUUUGAAAUGUCUGAUGAGCACUUUUAAAAGUUCAGGGACCAAAUUUAAACUCUGCUAGUAGUCUAGAGAGUACUGCGAUUUGUCUUUAAGAAGUCUUGAGACUACUCUCAAACACAUCAUAUUGUGGUUAAACAAAACAAUAAAUGAGCAAUAAGAAAUAUGAAAACAUAAGAGAGAUGAAAGUUUAGUUGUCAGAAAUCACCAUCAACAUUGAUAAAAAAGCAAGGGAUGGCAAACACAACCACCUCAUUUCUACAACUCCAUGGGAAAGAGUCAGCAUUAAGAAUCUUGCAGUGUAAAAACACAAAUUUGCAGAAGCAUCAAGUAAAACUUUUGGGCCUGAAUGUUAGAUCAAGAGAAAGUAACAGAAGAAUAACCUUGUUCGAGAUCCAAUAAGGUGUAAGCAGUUUGGGUUCAAAUUAGUGCAUCUCGCAAGAAAUUGCUGUUUCAUUAGACAUCAUGCCUCCACCUUUUGAGGUAAAAAGGAAAAAAUAGCAACAGGAGAGAUUUGAUAGAAAUGCUAUGCUUUUGUACAUAAUUUCGUCUCUAAGCUAUAAACGGGAAAAAAGAAGAUAGCCACCCUUUUCUCAUUGAACUCUCUUGAAGAGAGUAAGAUUGUAGUUUGAACAGCUAACAACAAAUAUUUCUUAACAUGGUUAUGUUGAAAUACUCUGAGCUAACAUCAUUCUAGUAUUCUUCAAAUGAUAAAAUGGUUCAGAGCUCAAAAUGAAUAAACUUAGGAAUUCUAUGACUGAACCAAGAGAUAGCUUAGCUACAUGAUAGCUAAGAAAGGUAGUACAANAAAAAAAAAAAAAAAAAAAAAAGAGGUGAAAAACUGGAAAAGUAGUUUUCCAUGCAAAACUUUUUUCUUGAAGAUUUUUUUUUCAUACUUUUCUGAGGAACCAAACAGCUCCUAAGAUGAAAUCAUGAAAUAAGCAUGCACAAUUUCUGCAUAGGGAGUAAAGACCAAGCAAUAAUUUCUCAGAGCAACCGAUGUAACAAGAUGCUUACUCUUUCUUAGAACAACUAAAAGAUCACCAUAUCGAAUGAUGCAGGGCAAUCAUAAGAGCAGAAGCAAGGAUUAAAGUGUGCAUCGACACGGGCCAUAUCCACCGUGCCGUAUCGUGCUAGCAAGAUAUCGGCACAAUAUAGCCCCCGUGCCAAUGAUACAACUCAAAAUCCUUUAUUCUUAAAAUUAGUAAGUAAUUUUUCAAUAAAAUUCAAAAGAUUUGAUAAAAAUACAUAAUAAAUAAUUGGCAUAUUUUGUUGCUAAUGAAAAUAAAUAUUUCAUAUCAUUACGUGUCGACACACAUAUAUUUUUUAUGACCGGCACUCAUCGGCACAGCCCGGCACGCACCGUGCCGUACCGCGCCAGCAAGUUUCUGGCGCGACCCUGUGCCACGGUACUUAAAUUCUUGAGCAAAAGAACGAUGUAACAAACAAGACUAGCCAUACAAUAAUCACCUAAUCAAUUUAGUGCAAGUGCAUAUAAGAUAUGAGUUAAAAACUCAUAAUGAAGUUUCUUGCCAUUUGCAAGUUCAAAAAAAGAUCAGUGCCAUGUAAGUUUUUGAUAACAGUAGAGGACAAGUGACAACAAUAUUAUACAACAUAGGAUUUUUUUAUCUUAAAAAGAACCACAGAAGUACUCUCACUAGUUCACUAAAGGGAGCUUUAAAAUAUUUUAAUCCGAAGAAAAAAUUAAUCACCGCCCACUUAAAGCAGAAGUAUUUUGAGCAGCAUAUGCUUAAGAAAUAAGAAUAUAUGAAUAUAAAACUAUUAAGUUUUUUGAGUGGAACCAAUGAUAAAUCUUCAAAAAGAAAAAGGAAUAACUUUCAAUUAAGUAACAAAACAAAUUUAUCAUUAAAGAAAGAACUUAAUAGUUUUAUAUUCAUAUAUUCUUAUUUCUUAAGCAUAUGCUGCUCAAAAUACUUCUGCUUUAAGUGGGCGGUGAUUAAUUUUUUCUUCGGAUUAAAAUAUUUUAAAGCUCCCUUUAGUGAACUAGUGAGAGUACUUCUGUGGUUCUUUUUAAGAUAAAAAAAUCCUAUGUUGUAUAAUAUUGUUGUCACUUGUCCUCUACUGUUAUCAAAAACUUACAUGGCACUGAUCUUUUUUUGAACUUGCAAAUGGCAAGAAACUUCAUUAUGAGUUUUUAACUCAUAUCUUAUAUGCACUUGCACUAAAUUGAUUAGGUGAUUAUUGUAUGGCUAGUCUUGUUUGUUACAUCGUUCUUUUGCUCAAGAAUUUAAGUACCGUGGCACAGGGUCGCGCCAGAAACUUGCUGGCGCGGUACGGCACGGUGCGUGCCGGGCUGUGCCGAUGAGUGCCGGUCAUAAAAAAUAUAUGUGUGUCGACACGUAAUGAUAUGAAAUAUUUAUUUUCAUUAGCAACAAAAUAUGCCAAUUNGAAUAACUUUCAAUUAAGUAACAAAACAAAUUUAUCAUUAAAGAAAGAACUUAUGUACAGAUUUAUACCUCAUCGCAGAAACCAUUGUCAUUGCAAUCAUAAACAGCAGUACUGGAUGUAAACAAGAAGGAACCUUCACCACUCCAAUUUGAUGCUGCAAAUCUGAACAUGUUACAGAAAGUUAAGCAUGUUAGCAGUGUCAAAGACAUCACUACCUUACACAUUAUAAAAGACAACCAAAUGCUUAAAAUAACUUUAGGCAAGGAUUUCUGUGCACAGCCUGUGCCACUGUGCCAGCGACACAGCAUGGCAUAGAGGCACACAUUUGCGCAGGUUUUCAUGAAAAAUUAAUCUUUUAGAGUGUUUCAAUAUCUGUAAGGGCCAUUUUGGUUCACAAUUUGUAAUAAUCCGGUAAUCCUCCAUAUUUUCUAUUGAAAAUAGUCAAAUUAGUACCAUUCAACUCAAGUUGGGUAGUUGUAAAAGUUGUUAGUUAAAUAGUGGAAUCAUUGUAGAUUCCUAAGUGGUAGCCGGUAGGAAUAUUAGAUUAUCAUGGGGUAGGACGCAUUCUCAUUUUCAUGUUUGAUGGAAAUUAGUAGUAGUUCAUUAACAAGAACAUAGUAGUUCUUACGAACCUCCCAACCCAAGUGGCUUGGUAAGUUACUAAAAAACUUGCCAUUCCAAAUAUAAAAUAUACAACAUUCCUAGAAUAUUAAAAACCUUGAACCAAGCGGCCCCCAAACACUAUAAAUAUAUAUAAACAACUCACACAAGUAAAAAUUGAGUCAUAAUCAUUUUAAUCACAAAAAGAAAAUUCGUUUUAUAUAUAUUAUGAAAGUAUAUGCAUGAAACCAAAACCAAAGUCAUAAUUGGAUAAAGUUUUAUAAGGAAACACUACCGUGGAUAAAAUCACUUGAUCUAAAAUGAUAAAAGAAAAUGGAGGAAAUCAUUUUAUUUGGAUUUUUGCAAUAAACAUUUGUCUUAUAAUGCAAUGCAACUUAUUAAUUGCUCCAAAAUGUUAGUAGAUUUACAAGAUCUACAAAUUUUUAUGUAUGAAAAAAACUUUUUGUAAAAGUUUUUACCUCACAAAAGAAAAACUCAAAAAGAUUCUAACCAUUCUGUUGAUACCAUGUCGAGAAGACCCCGUGCCACGUGCUGGCACGGCCUCGGCACUGUACAACAAGGGGUAGCAUGGGUAAUAAUUGCCUUGAGGAAAUAAAAAGUAAUAUACCGUAGGUGUGCAUUUGGGGGGGGGGGGCAAAAGGAGAAAAGGUGAGCCUAGACACGUUUAACUAUUGGCCAUUUUGAAAUGGAUGACUGCAUCCUCCACACCCUUCCUUUUUUUUUUUGGAUUGACAAACCCCAUCCCUAUAGUCUGUUUUGAUUUUUUGAGUUUUUCUGUCAGCUGGCUUGGGCACUUCAUCAAAGUUAAUGGCUCCAUAAAUUGUUAGCCCCUCAAUGUUAACUGAUUCCACAAUACUCAUUGUCAAUAGCAUAUAAUUCCUCAAUCAUCUCAUGGCAUAAACUCAAAAACAAUCAAAAGUCGCAGGCAUCAAUCAAACAAAAAGUAAAUAUUGGGGUCUACCUCAAUUGGGUUAUAGGGGUUAUCUUUACAUUUUUAACAAAAGAAAAGACAAAGAAUGCCUAGAAGAAAGAUUGGCAUUGUUCACCAGGUGCAGAAUUCCUAAAUUCCUACGAAAGGAAAUAAUCAUAGCAUUAGUCAUACCACUAUUUCUUAACUAGUAUCAAUUGAUUACCCAGCAACUGUCCAAAAAUGUUUCCAAAACUUCAGGUCAUCAAGCACCAAAUUCAUACUGUACUUUGAAUGGGACAUUAAAAACUAGCAUGAAGCUGAAGAAUACUCGGCCUAACUUAUACUGCCACAUCCUUAAAGAGAUUUUGGCAGUAAUCAGUUAUUACUUUCUAUAUAAGAGAAAAAAGCAUUAUAUAUUUUUACACUACGGGCGCGUUUGGUUCGUGUUAUGUAACAUUACAGAUUAUUUCGACAUAUCCAGGUAUCUUGGAUUUCUGAAUGAGAUUACUACUGAUGCUGUAUUAGCGCGUUUGGUUUAAUCAAUAAUAUAAUCCUGGAUUGCAAUGUAUAUAAUAUUACUAUAUUUGGUUCAGUUUAUAAAAUUCAGUAAUCCUAACAACAAAGUGUAAUCUAUUCCAAAAUUGUCCUUAGUCAUAUUUGGCAAAAAAUGUUUACUAUUUACAAAUAAUAUUUUUUUUAUUAAAAUUUAUUUUAAAUAAUUUAAAAUUUGAAUUUAAAUUUUAUUUUUAAAUAUUUUAAUAUUUUAAUUUAAAAUAUAAAUAUAAACAUAAAAUUUAAUAUUUUAAUUUUAAAAUACAAAUAUAAAAUUUAUAAAUUUAAAUUUUAAAAUUUAAAAUUUAAAAUUUAAAAUUUAAAGUUUGAAAUUUGAAAAUUGAAAUUUAAACUAUAGAUAUAAAUUUAAAUUUUAAAAUUUAGAAUUUAAAAUCCAAAUUUUAAAUUUAGAAUUUAAAAUCCAAAUUUUAAAUUUAGAAUUUAAAAUCCAAAUUUUAAAUUUAGAAGUUUAAAUUUUAAAUUUUAAAUUUUGAAACUUGAAACUUGAAAUUUAAAAAUUAAAAAUUAAAAAAUUAAAAUUUAAAAUUUAAAAUUUGAAUAUUAAAAAUUAAAUUUAAAUUUUAAAAUUUGACAAUUUAAAAAUUUAAAUUAAAAUUUUAAAAAUAAUGCAUUGAAAGGGUUUGGGGGUUCGAAAGGGUAAACUUGUAAUUUUACAUAAAUGCAAGAUAAUCCGCCAUUAGUAAUACGACAUACCCACCCCCCGCUCGUUUAUAUUUUUGGUGUAAUCCUGCACCAUUUGUAAUGCUACAUUACUAACCAGGUUACAUACCAGAUGAAUCAAACGUAGUAAUCCUGGCAGGAUUGUUAAUCCUGCCAAGAUAACUCGAACCAAACGCACCCUAACAAUAAAAUAAAAUAGAAGAGAGAAAUAUUCUCCACACAUAAGAACAGGCUAUGGCAAGUGAAACAUAAAGACCUAGAUAUACUAUAGAACUGCAGAAAAGAUGACAGAAGGUAUUGGUUCUCAUACUACUUGAGAAAAACCACAUGCACAUCAUCCAAACAACAAAUCAUUGGGCAAUAGAUCCUUGGGCCUUAAUUUGUAGAGACCCUCAACUUAUGUGGUGUCUAAUUGCAGAAAAUUCUGUCAAAACUUGAUGGUCUCUGUGAUUUUUUGAGGAAAAAUUUCUGCAACUUAAUGGAAUUUCUGUUACUGGACAGUUGUAAGAAUAUUGGUAACUUCUGUUAUGGGAAUCUCUAAGUUCUAAUCAAAGUGAGAGAAAUUUCUGACAUCAAACAAAGCAUUAGUUGAGGGCUUCAACUUCAGAAACUUAAAUUCAAUGACUGUUUCCAAGUGGCCUCGCCCUAUUUAUAUCAUAAGUGACCUAAAUUUUUACCUAACAUCGCCAGGGUAAUCUUCAGUGCGAGAUGGAGGAGCACAGAAAAUAACGUAAGGAACUUUCUUCGCCAUUGUUGAUUGCCUUAAGGAGGGAAUGAUACCAAGUGCAGUCAGUUCAUUGUGAUGUUCUGUACUCAUUGUCUGACCGUAAACGUUGCAACCUGGAUGCUCCUGUCAGCAAAUUGAAAGAAAACAUUAUCAAUUCAAUGAACCUUACCUUGCACAGGAUUUCUAUAGUAAGAGUGGAAAUAAUAAAUCAAAAGAGAAAAGGCCAUUAAAUAUCCAGAUCAAGGUUUAAAGUGUCGCCCUGUGCCAUACGGCACGGGGCGACACGUACCUGUGUAGUGGGAGGUCUCGGACCCCCCCGUCGUGCCGCGGCACACACCUGCGUAUCGCGCGAGACAGCAUGAUACGCGGGUGGGUGCCACGACACUGUGUCGUGCUGGCACUAUUUUUUUUUUUUUUUGGCUUUUUGCUUUUUUUUUUUUUUUUUUUUUUUUUUUUUUUUUUUUUUUUUUUUUUUUUUUUUUUUUUUUUUUUUUUUUUUUUUUUUUUUUUUUUUUUUUUUUUUUUUUUUUUUUUUUUUUUUUUUUUUUUUUUUUUUUUUUUUUUUUUUUUUUUUUUUUUUUUUUUUUUUUUUUUUUUUUUUUUUUUUUUUUUUUUUUUUUUUUUUUUUUUUUUUUUUUUUUUUUUUUUUUUUUUUUUUUUUUUUUUUUUUUUUUUUUUUUUUUUUUUUUUUUUUUUUUUUUUUUUUUUUUUUUUUUUUUUUUUUUUUUUUUUUUUUUUUUUUUUUUUUUUUUUUUUUUUUUUUUUUUUUUUUUUUUUUUUUUUUUUUUUUUUUUUUUUUUUUGUUUUUUUCUUUGGGGUACUUGAAGUAUCCUGGAUACCCCACACCCCUCAAAGACAUUGCAAAUCAAAAAUCCACUUGUUAAGUAAGUUAAAAAAAUUAUAAUCUAUUUUUUUUUGCAUAUCAAUAUACGGGCAAAUUUUUAAUUUACAUAUCCGAUCCAUACGGCCCGAGCCCUUUGCUUCCACCACAGACAUCCAUUUUUUUUCACAAAUUAUUUUAUCAAAAUUUGUCACACUGACGAAAAUUUUGGCAAAUUUAGGUAACAAAAUAGAAUUCAAUAAACAAAUUUUGAGACAUAUCAAGCAUAAAAUUUUAUUUUUGCGUUAGAAGAUUAAAAAUACUGAUAAAAUUAAAAGCUAAAUUAUAUCAAUUGAACUUAAAUUUAUUUAAUUUAUUUGUCAUAUAAUUUAUUGCUUAAUUUUUUUUGAUAGAUCUAAUAAUUUUUUGAAAAAAUUAAUUAAAAAAUAAUUUUUUCAAAUACUUUUUAAAAUAAGUUUAAUUUUUUUUUUGUAUUUUAUAAAAGAAAGACUGUAAUAUGGUCAAAAGAAAGAAAGAUGUUUUCGCAUUUUAAAAAUUCUAACCUAUAAAAAUUUCGAUUCUGCAUUAGAUAUAGUUGUAUUUUACAUACAAAAAAGCUUACAAGUAUAUUAAUUGAUGAAUAUAAUAAGCUAUACAUAGCAAAUAUUCAUAAUUUUUAAUUAAAUCUUUCAAAAUAAUAUUAUAAGAGCUUAUUAGAACUAAAAAAACUGAAAUAAAUCCGUACCAAAGCGUGCCAGUAGGACGGCAUGCGUAUCCAUCGGCAUGCAAACGUACUAUGUAUCGGCACGGUAUCGGCACGGAAGCAUGCCGGUGCCAUACCGUGCCAAGCAAACAGCGGCACGCCCCGUGCCACAGCACUUUAAACCUUGAUCUAGAUCAAUGCACGAAUCAGCUGUUGCAAUUAACUAAAGAAAAGUUCACAUCUAAAGCCACCUAGAGUUUACUCGUGUUAAAUUAUAUGACACAAUCAUUUUAAGCUGGUAGAGAAUGAUAUUUUCAUUUUAUUUUUAUAUUUAACACUCACCUUCACGUUUGGGCUUGAGAGCCCUAUGACGUGGAAUUAAAUGAGAGGAAAUCAAUAAUGCUAGGAGCUUGCCGUGACUUGAACUCAGAACCUCCUGCUCUAAUACCAUGUUAAAUUAUAUGAAACAACUAUUUGUCUCUAAAAGCUUAAGCUGGUAGAGAGUUAACAACUUGGGUUGAAAAUAUUCUCACAGAAUAAUAUUCUGUCCCAGAUAAUGUCAUCUCUAUCACCACCUAUGCAUCUCCAACUAAAAUUGACAGGUAAUCUAUUUGGCUCCAAUAUGUUGCAGUUUUAUUUCCAUAGUUCUAUUACUAUCAUACUAUAUGAUGAACUACUUCAUUUUGUUAUAAGUUUAUUGUUCCGGCACUUGGAAUGACAUACAUAACCCUAGAUCUUCUACAAAACAGCGCAGAACAUCAGCGUCUUCAGUCUUUAGGAAUGAAGUGAAAGAAACAAGGAAUUUCCUUAAUGACAUGACUAACAUUACAAUCUGUAUUUACUUUAAUUAAAACAGUCUACGCUGAUCAAACACAAAUAAAAGAUGUUUAAAUUUUAAGAAGGUUCAAGAAAGUAAUUCUAAAUCUUAAUAUUAGCCAUAAUUCCCAACAACCUGUUGCCACUUUUCAGCUACCAUCCGACCAAGAACACCUGGGCCCACAAUCAGCAGAUCAUUUUCUCCAACAAUGUCAAAGCAAGAUAACUUCAUUCCUGACUCAUAAGAAGUUUCUGCACCUAUGAAGCAAACAGAGGCUUUCAAAUUAUAUAUACAUCAAGCACCUCUAUACUUCUACCCUAGAAAUUUAGAAGGAUAUGCUUUUAAAAACUGCGCUAACAAGGGUAUAUGCAAAAAUUAUUUUUUUUUAUAGAGGUUAACUUGUAACUGAUGAUGUUGUGGGGAUAUAUAUAUGUAAAAGCCUCAAGAUAGAAAAGGAACUUCUGAAACGCUUACGCAAUACUAGUGCUUACACAAGAAAAUCAAACAUUAUAAUCACAACUUCAUAUCAGAGCAGUCUGUUAUUAGAUUUAAUAACACUUGUUAUUAGAUUUAAUCCCCUCUUCUAUUUGAUUUCAUUGUUAUUAUCACGGCCUGCGUCGAUGGGCAGUCUGUUAUUAGAUUUAAUACCCUUUUGAAUAAAAUUAGUAAUUUCAGCACGCAAAGCAUAACCUCCAAUCCCUUAAUAUAGUGUCAAACUGGUGCUAUCAAAAUAAAUCUAUAAAUUUAGAACCAAAGAUUUAAGGGCCAUCGGCACAGGCCAUGCCUACCAUGCCGAUAAAAUAUUGGCGCGAUAUAACCCCCCGUGCCCAAGGCACGGUUCAAAAUCUCUCUUCUUUGAAAUUAGGAAGUAAUUAUCUCAAUAAAGUGUAAAAGGUUUGAUAAAGAUAUACAAUAAGCAACUAGAAUAUAUUAGUGCCAAAGAAAAUAAAUAUUUCAUGUCAUAGUGUGUCGCCACAUAUGUAUUUUAUGAUCGACACACACCGGCAAGACAUGGCAUGCACCAUGACCUUCCGUACCAACAAAUUCUCAACACGACCCUAUGCCACGGCACUUAAAUCCUUGCUAGGAACAGAACAGGUCAAAUAACAUGGUUUUAUUCUAUUCCUUAUCGGGCAUUGGCACAUUCGAGAGGAGAAAAUCGAUAAGAGUUGUAUGUAGGGUAAAAGGAGAAUCUAAACCACCAACACAUUAAUUGAAACGAAGAGGAUGAUCAGUUUAUCAUAAAUCAUGGUUUAUUUCCACAGUUAGGCUCCUGACUAAACUAGCCAUCAAUGACUAUCAACUAGGAAAAGAUAACAUGGACAUUAUACUUGGUUUUAGUAGUACUGUUAAGUUUGGUAGCUUCAGAGCGUAUACGCACGAGAUCCAUUGCCUCUUCGUCAAGCAACAAAUAGAAUUUGCAAACUUUCAUAAACGAUGAAAAAAGGUUCUCCAUUUGGUAAAAGGAUCAACUAUUCCACAUUACACAUAGGGCUCCUUUCAGCAGUUAAUUAGCUAACUAACCUAUCGAUCUUUUUUCUGAAAUGCACUAAUCCAUCAACCUUCAAAAAGGUAUUAGAUACAUUGAAAUAAGUGCUGCACUACCACAGAUAAGAACCUGCGGAUGAACAGGCGAUAACAGUAGGGCUACUGGAUAAACUACAAUUAUAAUUUCAUCAAGCAUGAACUUAUAAAACCUAAUCACCAAAAUCCAAGGAGGAUUUUUGCAAAUUUUGGAUCCAAAGCUGUUGUCCUGAAUCUAAAGGUCCUUCGCCAACAUUGUGAUAGAUUUACACACAAAAGAUCUCAACCGGAGGCAUUUCGGUCCUCAAAAAUAUAUUACGAGCCAUAGUCGAAGUGGGCUGAAAUUGCAAAAUCAAAUAAUGUGUAGUGCUUUUGAAAAUGGCAAAAGAAACAAGCAUAAUAGCAUACCAAUAAAUUUGUACAAUCAGUAUUUCCUGAAAGUACUGCUGUUAAAUUCUUAAAUAACAAAAAUGACAUCCAAAAAGAGAUUAAGAAACCACCAUUUGUCUCCAAAAGCUUAAGUUACCAAAUAACUAAUUUGAUAUUUUAUAGUCAACACUCCAAACGCUUAAGCUACCAAAUAACACUAUUUUAAUAUUUCAUAUUCAACACUCUCUCUCACGUGUAGGUUCAAGACUUUUACCAAAUAACACUAGUUUAAUAUUUUAUAUUCAGCAAUCCCCCUCGCGUCUAGGUUCAAGAUUUUUUGACAUGCCCAAAACGUGAACUUGGAUUUGAAUGGAAGGAAAUUAAAUUAAUUGAAUCUAGGAGCCUGGCAGAAUUUGAAUUCACGACCUUAUACUCUGAGACUCUGAUACCAUGUAAAAUAACGUGAAACAAAUAUUUUCGUCCAAAAACUUUAAAGUUGUCAGAAAACAAGGCUUUAAUAUAUUAUAUUCAACAGUCCCCCGAACAUCUGGGCUCGAAAUGUGAAUUUGAAUUAAAUGGAAGGGAAUAAAAUAAAGGCUAGGGUCUUGGUGGGAUUUGAACUCGGAACAUCUUACUCCCAUAGCAUGUGAGGAAACAAUCAUUUCUCUCCAUAAGAUUCCAGCAGUGAUUCUAUCAAAUUUCACUACUCUAACUACUUGAGUGUAGAUUUCAUAAUAAAUAAAUAAUAACCAAUAGCUCAUGAAACCAUUAAUUUUAAUUUUAAUUCAAAAUUCUUGAUUCAGAUAACUCAAAUCAAAACAAAUGAAAGGCUAAGGGGUGCUAAUAAAAAAAAACAGGGAAAAAUAGAUCAGAUUCCACUAUUCAUGAGAUUCUGCUAUUCAUCGAAUCUAAAUCCUAAGCCCAAUCGCAAGGCCAACCAGUUAAGCACGAUCGACCAGAACACGCAUUGACGCAACCAAACCCUAGGGUCGUGCGAAGAAUAAGAGGAGGAGGAGGAAGAGGAGGAGGAGGAGGAGGAGGAAGAGGAUGAGGAGAGGGCAAUGGCGAAGGAGAGGAGCUCACCGACGGAGGCGGAGGCGGAGGAGGAGGAGGCCAUGGAUACGGAGCGAAGGAUGGGGCGAGAGCGAAGGGGAACGGAGAAGAGCGUGGAGGAGGAGGAGGGGAGGGAAAGACGAAGAGGAAGAGGAAGAGGAAGAGGAGGAGGAUGAGAGGAGAAGCGAAUCGCAGCGGCGACAACCACGACUCCCAUUGAAGAAGAAGAAAGAUUAGAGUGGGAGAACAACAACGGGGCGGUUUUAUUUUAGCAAAUCGGGUGACAAGGAAGAAUCCACGUAUCUAUAUCUAUGCAUUACAUUAUCCAUAAAAAAACCAUUAAUUAAUUAGCAAAAGCACUAUUUGGACCUCCAAGUCACUAGGUACCAUUUAGUUCGGGAAUAAUGAUUUUGGGGAUAAAUUUGUUUAAUUCUGGAAUAGUCUGCUAUUCUAGAAUAAUCAGGGAUAAAAAUAAAAUAGUAUUUGGUUUGUAAAACGAUUAUUUCUGAAAAUAACAGAAAUUAUGUUUGGUAAGUUUCUUGGAAUAAAUAAGAAUAGUGACAAAAAGUGUUAGAUUAAUUUUAUAAAUACCAAUUUUGCCCUUAGCUUUCAUGUGCAAAUAUUUUGUAAGUUACCCAACCAAUUAGAUGCAACAUUUAGCUAAACAAGAGAACAUUUUAUACACAUGAUUGCUAGAUUAAUUUUAUUUUUAAUUUAAUGUCAGCACAUUAGAAAUUAUGGUAGUAACAUAUGCUGAAGAGAAAAUAAUUAAAUUUAAGAAGUUCAAGUCAUUGUUAGAUAAAACUAAUAUUGUUAAAUUAUACAAGAAGGCUGUUAAUUACAUCUAAUUCAAAAUUAUAAUAAAAUACAAUGCUGCUUAAUUACUACUAUACAAAACCAAACAACAUGAAGCUAUACAAGAAGGAUGUUAAUUACAAAAUCCCAAAGGCAAGAAAAGAUGAAGAAGAGACAUUGUAUUGAAAAAUAUCAACAUCCAACUCAUACAAAGCAAUUCAGGAGUGCAAGUAACAAUGCAAAUAGUUAAAAACAUCCAAUUACGGGAAAUUUAACAACAGAACAAAGUAGGUUCAAGGUGAAGACAAGAUACACAACUAGAUAAAGCAAAUUACAAAGCAUGUUCACACAAAUUUAUAAAAAUUAUAUCAUUUCCAAUAUAGCCUCCUAUCUAUUGUUCCACAGUUGCUCUGUGAUCAUAGUGUGAAGGGCGUCACCUCGCCGAGACUCAUCUGGGCCAAUAGGAGGUAUCGAGUCAUCAUUUUGGUCGUCUGUGGGGAAUUGGUCCAUUUGCAUGUUGAAAUAUUGUCACGCCCCGGGACCCAGCGGAAGCCCGCCCGGCGCGUGCCCAGACCCGCCAUACGUCUAAAACGUAUAAGGCGUCUAGGAACAACAAUAAUAAAAGCAAUAUUAAAGGACAUCUAGGAAUAUCAGAGCAUAAUAAAUGUCUAAAUGCUACAACAAAGGAUGAGGAAAAGCUGUAAAUCCACUAAAUAAGGCAUAAAGUAAAUACAAUAGGAAAUCCCAAAUACAAGUGCUAAGAGUAGAUACAUAGGUGGUCUCUCUACAGGGUACAAAACUCUCACUCUCUCAACUACAAAAGAAAGAGUAAACCACCUAGGCAAGUAAGCUCCUCGCUAGCUAGCUACGCGAUCCCCUUGCCGCGAUCCCGUGCCUCCGCCGGUGCCGAAGGCUCUGAAAAGGAAACCAUAAAAGGGGCGCUGAGAUACUAAUCAAAAUAGUUCCAGUGUCGAUUACUGACUCAGUGAAUCACCGAGCAAGCCAAACACAAAAAAGAGGUUAGUGAAUAUAGAUUAGAAAAGCGAAAGUAAGUAAAAAUGUAACUUACAUAAACAUGAUAUCUCUACUAUAGCCUAAAUAGCAUAAUAUGAAUAAGACUAUGGUGAAGUAAAAGUCUCAACAUAUCAUAAUUUCACAAUGGCGAAAUAAUAAAGUUCUAUUGUUUCCUAUUACUAGUACAAUGUCCAAAUAAUACUCUAAUCAUCCAUCUUCGCACAUGUCAUAACGAAUACUCAAGCCGAAUCUGAAGAGACCCACCCGAAGGCUGUCUAAUAGCCCUGAGACGCCACCGAAGGCUGUCUGGCGGGUUGCCGAGCCAAUGGCCCGUGGUCGUCAUGCACCCCACCUAGGAUGGGCCUGCCCACGGCAAUCCACUUCGCGCUAAAUCCCGCAGCCGGCGAGUAUGAAUCCGGCUGAUGGCCAUCCCGAUGGCCGGCUUAGUAGGGAGCGACCCUCACAAGCAUAGUGCGGAAUGAGCAUGGCAAUACAAUACGAUCCGUCCAAGUACCAAGUUCCUCCAUGUCAUAAUAACAAUGGGAAUGUGUCAAGAUAAUCUCAAUGCCUAUCUAAUGUCAUCACUGUCUCUAACAUGGAAUAUAAGCAGAUAUGUAGUGGCCUAUCAUAUGUCUCUAUAAUGGCAGGUUUCAUAUUUACUAGUUUCAAGUGCCCCUUUAUGACCUCUUCUGCUCUCUAUGUCAAAAAACAUGGCAACUAUGUUCCCAAGUCACAUAUUCCGUCAGUAAUCCUCAAUAUAAGAUGAAUUGUUUUCACUUGCAAAUUAACACUUCUUCCGUAAUGGCAUGCAUUCUACUCAAUAGCUUCUACUAUUAUAGGAAAUAUUCAUAAUUAAAAGGCAUGCAUUUUAAGUGCUCUAAAAUUCAUAUAAUUCCCAAUUUAGCAUAGAAAUCUAACUAAAACAAAUAAUUACAACAAGUAGAAAGAGCAAUCGGGGCCAUUCGCCCCAGUUUCCACUGAGCUCAAACCCACCGAUGACAACGAAACUCCUCGUGCGCUCCCACGAGGGUGUCCUCUAGUCUCCUAGUAUCCUAGAGGUAUGAAAACAUGAGUCAUACGAGCCGAACGAACAACACCUAGCUCAAACAUUAAGCUAAUCAAGCAUAGGUGUGAAAAACUCACCUCUAGUACAAAAAUCUCCUCUAAAGCUCUAAAAUGAAGCUAGGGCUCAUCCAAUCCAACCUAAUGGAAGCCUCUAAUCCACUCAAUCUAGCUCCAAAAGCCCUAGAUUCAAAAUACCCAAAACAAACCCUAAUAUCACAAUCUAGGGUUUAAUCUCAUGAAAUUCAAUAAAAUUCAAAUCUAGAGGGAGAUAAUAUAAUGCUUACCUCUUAGAAGCUUCAAAUCAAGCUCUAAAUCCUUUAAAUCCCAAGAUCUAUCCUCCACUUAGCUCCAAAUUCAAGCUUGAGGCUUCAUCCAUGGUGGAAAUGGCACCAAAGGGCAAAAGAGAAGAAAAUCCAUCAAAAACCAAGCAAAAUGGAGAUCAAAAUCAAAUGGGACAAGGUGGGGCUUCACUCACCUUCCUCUCCUCUGGUUCCAGCACAAAAAAAGCCCUAAGGGGCGUGGGUGCUGUUAUAAGAAGCCCACAAUCGCGAAAAACCCCCUGCAGACCAAACUGCACGAAAUCUGCCUCCUUGUACCGGUACACGGGCUCUUGUACCGGUACAAGGCCGACGAAAUUGCAAACCCGAGGCUCGGGUCGCGCGGUCUGCGGCUCUGUACCGGUACAAGCCCGAUGGCUGUACCGGUACAACCAUCAAUCCUUG